rnacentral:lncRNA from 1 species
UCUAAAAGUAUGUAAUAGGUUCGUGCUUUUCUUUAUGUAAAAAUCGUGUUUGUCGUGCGAAGAAACAUUGCUUGAGCUUCAAAUGACGUAUAUGCCAAAUACUAAAGUGUUUUACCUUAACAUUUGAAAUCAAGGUGUCUAAAUAUAUUUUCUUCUAAUUUCUUUUUGAAGUGAUCGUAGUCUUGAUAUGUAGCUUGAUUUCCACUUUGUCCAAACUUGCAAAAGCUCCGCUUGUCGUAAACUUCUAUAAUCACUUUGUUAAAUAAAAUAUGUUUAUUAUAAUCAAAACGAGAAGUCAACCGUAGGCCAACAAUUUCCCCCUUUUUGAUUAUGACAAACAUGAGAUGAUGGAGAUAAAAAUAACGAAAUAAUUCCCCCUGUCUUUUAUACGUGUAUUCCCCCUUACUCAAGCAUUCCUAUCAUGCAUAUCGUCUCAUCAUAAUAAAUCAUGUAUUCUCAUAAUUGAUUGAUCAUGUAUACCAUCUCAUAAUUGAUAAAUUAUGUAUAUCAUCUCAUAAUUGACAAAUCAGGUAAGUCAUCUCAUAAUUGACACAUCAUGUAUAUCAUCUCAUAAUAGUUUUCCCCCUUUUGGCAUAAUCAAAAAAAUGACAAAUAUGAGAAGUAACAUAAGUUCAUAAUAUCAUAACCAAAACGUCAAAAGAUAAAGUCAUAAUGAGUUCGGGAGUACACUAAAAAGAUGCAUAAGGUAAAUAAUAAAACCAAAAACUAAGGCGCCGGAGGAGGUGGUGGAAAAUGUGCGUAAAAGUGAGUAUAGAACGCAUUCUGCUGAGCUUGCAUUUCAGCUUACUGUGCAAGAAUGGCAUCCUGCUGAGCCUGGAUCGCGGCCUGCUGUGAUUGGACAUUCUGAAGAACACCACUAAGCCCAUCAACCGACGUCGUGAGAGAGUCGAGACGCUCGGUGAGUAAAUUAUACUGAUCCUCGGUAAAAGUGAAUCGUCGGGUAGAAGAGGAAGAUGUCCUAAUUGAUGGUGGAUGCGAGAGUAAUGGGACGUCUUCUUCAGCUUUUUCUUCGUCCUCAAAUGGUACUGUAGAAGGACCCGAGGCGGGGUCAAACCCUUUAGUGUAAGCCACCCAUUGUCCUUGAGUUUUAAAGAUUUUCGUACGCUUGAGGGUUUGAAUAUUGAUCGUAUCGGUGGGACGAGGUUUGAUGACGACUUCACCCUCAAGAGAGACAUUGAAGUGUUUGAAAAUUUUUGUUAAAAGCAUACCACAGGGCAAUGCUUUGGAAUAACGGGAAGAAUGGAUAAGUUUCAUAAGACCUAAAGCAAUUGUGGGAAAAUCUAACUUUCGGCCAACGAGAAAUGAAUCGAGAAUGAACAAAUCAAAAUAAUUAACCUCAUCUCGAUGCCCUUUUCUAGGUAAAAUAACAUUUGCAAUGAUAUUUUGCAAUAUUUUCAAGGUAAAGAGAGUUGAUUAGCACUAAUUUUUGUGAUGUUUUCAAAGUCUUUCCCAGUCACACGACGACAUGCAUCACUAGGAUUAUAACCUUCUAAGGUCGGGUGAGCUUUAUGAACAAAGACUUGUGUAUCACAAGGUUCAAGCCCAAGAAUUUCCCGAAUAAGAGUUUUAGUGACGGUGAUCCUUACAUUUUUAAUUAAACAAGAGAUACUAUCGGAACGUGGUAUAAUAACCAUUUUGUGUAAAAAGUUUUCAUAGUUUGAGGAUAAGCAUUUUCUUCCAACGAACAUACCGAAAUCCAUCUCAUAUUUUCAAAAAAUUCUUGAAUGUGAAAAGUAGAUGCUUCAACAGAAAAAGUCGAAAAAUCAACAUCUUUACCUAGUAGAAUGGGAGAUUUUUCAAGUGGGUUCACUGCCUCUUCGGGUUCAAAAUCCAUUUCUUCGUUGGAGGAGGGUGUUGGUGGCCAAUGUUCUGUAGUUUUUGCCCUUUUUCCAACUUGCUUUGUCCUCGGCAUUGAUUAAAUUGAGGCAAAAUGUUGAAAAUUGAGAGUUACGGCACAAAUUUGGGGAAAUGAGAAAUUUUGAAGCAAAAAACCAAAAUUUGUGAGGGAGAGAUGAAGAAGAUGAAGUGGGUUAAUAUAUUUUAUGUGAUUUUGUAACAAAUUAGAGAAGCAGAUGAAGAAACUUGAGUGAAGAGAGGAGGAGAGUUCGAAGAAGACCGGAGAAGGUAGGAAAAAAUGAGGAGAAAAAGACCUGUCGCGUUUUUAAAAUUCUGAAAUUUUAGUUUAUCGGACGUCCGGUAAUGUUUGUCGGAUCGUCCGGUAGGACAGAAAAAAGUUUCUGUCCAACCGGAUGAUAUACCGGACACGUCUGAUGGACUCGUCCGAAACCCUUUUUUUUUAAAUAGAAAAGAAAGAUUAAAGACAUGAAAUAAAUGAUUUAACGCUUAAUUCACUUCAUUUUCAUCAAGGAUACCUAAACCUCUUCGAAUACAAGAAAAUCGGUCAUGAGCUAGAGGUUUUGUAAAAAUGUCAGCCAAUUGGUCUUCAGUCUUUAUAAAUUCUAAUUCAAUGUCUCCUUUUUGAGUAUGAUCACGAAGGAAAUGAUGCUGAAUCUCAAUAUGCUUAGUUCGUGAAUGUAAAACGAGAUUUUUAGACAAAUUUAUGGCACUAGUAUUAUUACAUAAAAUAGGUAUAUGAUCGUAAAUCAAAUGAUAAUCGCAUAAAGUUUGUUUAACCCAAAGUGUUUGUGCACAACAACUAGCGGGUGAGAUAUAUUCUGCCUCGGCGGUGGAUAGUGCAAUGGAGUUUUGUUUCUUGCUAGACCAAGACACAAGUGCAAAGCCUAGAAAGUGACAAUUUCUGCUAGUGCUUUUACGAUCAACAUUACAUCCGGCCCAGUCGGCAUCCGAAUAAUUAAUUAAGUCAAUAUGAGUGCCUUUUGGAUACCAAAGUCCUAAAGUUCUCGUACCACUUAGAUAACGAAAAAUUCUUUUUACAGCCUUUAAGUGUGAUUCUUUAGGAUUAGAUUGAAAGUGAGCACAUAGGUAAAUACUAAACAUAAUAUCGGGUCUACUAGCAGUUAAAUAAAGAAGGGAUCCGAUCAUACCUUGAUAUUUUGUGACGUCCACGGAUGUACCUUGCUCAUUUUUAUCAAGCUUUAGAAAUGUGCUCAUUGGUGUGUUCAUAGGCUUGAUAUCAUACAUGUCAAAUUUCUUAAGCAUGUCUAUUAUGUAUUUAUUUUGAUUUAUGAAAAUUCCUUCUUUCAUUUGUUUAAUUUGAAGGCCAAGAAAAAACUUUAACUCACCCAUCAUGCUCAUUUCAAAUUCAUUACUCAUGCAUUUUGAAAAUUCUUCACAAAGUUGUAUAUUUGUAGUGCCAAAGAUAAUAUCGUCAACAUAAAUUGAAACAAUAAGCACAUCAUCUUUAUGAGUUUUUAUAAAAAGUGUAGUAUCUGCUUUUCCAAUCGAAAAACCAUUUGAGAGAAGAAAUUUGCUCAACCUUUCGUACCAAGCUCUAGGAGCUUGUUUCAAACUGUAAAGAGCUUUUUGAAGUUUAAAUACAUGAUCCGGAUACUUGUGAUCUUUAAAACCGGGAGGUUGCUCAACAAAAAACUUCUUCUUGAAUGAAACCAUUUAAAAAAGCACUUUUAACAUCCAUUUGAUAAAGUGUAAAAUCUUUGUAGCAUGCAAAUGCAAGAAGCAUGCAGAUGGAUUCUAAUCUUGCUACGGGUGCAAAUAUUUCUUCAAAAUCGAUACCUUCUCCUUGAUUGUAACCUUGGGCCACUAAUCUAGACUUGUUACACACAAUUAUUCCAUUUUCAUCCUUUUUAUUUCUAAAAACCCAUUUAGUUCCAAUAACGGUUUGAUUGUUUGGUCUAGCGACUAAGUCCCAAAUAUGAUUUCUUUCAAAUUGAUUUAAUUCUUCUUGCAUCGCUAGAAUCCAAAACUCAUCAAAUUCGGCUUCUUUGAAAUUCUUAGGUUCGAUUUGAGAAAUAAAUGCACAACUACCAAAAUAAUUUUUGUAAGAGGUUCUAGUAGUGAUACCUUUUGAUGGAUCGCCAAUUAUUGGCUCUUUGGGAUGAGAUGGAACAAAUCUCCAUUCUUUUGGUAACGAUGGAUCACUUUGUUCUCCGGUUUGUCUUUCUUCAUUUUCUUGAACAUUUGACUUUUCCAUGUCUCCAUUUGGUGCCUCCUUAUUUUGGUCUUGAAUUUUCAUUUGUUCGAAAGGAGCUUCUAAACCUACAUCGUCAUCACUACCUUUCUCUCGAUCAAAUGAAUUAGUUUCAUCAAAAGUGACAUGCAUGGAUUCUUCAACGACUAGAGUUCGUUUGUUAAAAACUCUAUAUGCUUUGCUAGUCGAUGAAUAUCCUAGGAAAAUUCCAAUAUCGGAUUUGGAAUCGAAUUUUCCCAAAUUGUCUUUUGUAUUUAAAAUGAAAUAUUUACAUCCAAAAACUUUGAAAUAACCAAUAUUUGGAAUUCUAUUUUUCCAAAGUUCAUAAGGAGUUUUGGUUUUCCUUUUGCUUACUAAUACUCUAUUGAUAAUGUAGUAAGCGGUAUUAACGGCUUCGGCCCAAAAAUAUUUAGGCAAGUUAUUUUCAUUUAACAUAGUUCGAGUCAUUUCUUGCAAUGUGCGAUUCUUCAUUUCUACGACACCAUUUUGUUGAGGUGUUCUAGGAGCCGAAAAAUUAUGUUCAUAUCCACGUUCUUUACAAAAAUCAUCAAACCCAACAUUAUUAAAUUCUCCACCAUGAUCACUUCUAAUAGUUGAAAUAGAAUAGCCUUUUUCAUUUUCAACUUUCUUACAAAAAUGUUUAAAAGUUUUCAAAGCUUCUUCUUUUAAGCUUAAAAAUAUAACCCAAUUAAAUCUUGAAAAAUCAUCGACAAUAACAAAAGCAUAAUGUUUACCUUCUAAGCUAGCCGUCCUAGAAGGUCCAAAAAGAUCCAUAUGGAGAAAUUGUAAUGGUUUUGUGGUUGAAGUAAAAAUUUUUGGUUUGAAAGAACAUUUUACUUGUUCUCCAAAUUGACAAGCAUCACAAAUUUUAUCUUUUUCAAAUUUCAAAUUCGGUAAACCCUUUACAAAACAAUUUUUGGAAAUUUUUGAAAGAAGAUCCAUGUUUACAUGUCCAAGUCUUCUAUGCCAUAACCAUGAUUCUUCUUUCAAGCUAAGUAAACAUUUUUCAUUAUUUUCCAAUUCAAUGUUUAUAAUAUAAACAUCUUUACUUCGGCUUCCCACAAAAAUCACCUCUUUCGAUGUAGCAUCCUUAAUAAGGCAUUUGGAAGAAUCGAAUUUUAUGUUAUAACCUUUGUCACAUAAUUGACUAAUGCUUAAUAAAUUAUGUUUAAGAUUAUCAACGAGUAAAACAUUUUCGAUAGAAGGGGAAGAGUGGUUACCAAUGUUUCCAAAGCCUAUUAUUUUACCUGUACCGUUAUCUCCAAAAGUCACAUGGCCUCCAUCCUUCUCUUGGAAGUUUGAUAACAAUGAUCGGUCUCCGGUCAUAUGCUUCGAGCAUCCACUAUCCAAGAACCAUUUACUUUUUAUUUUCUUUAGUACCUACAAAGACAAAUUAAGUUUUGACUUUUGGUACCCACACAAAUUUGGGUCCUUGAUAGUUAGUUUUUGUGGAUUCUUGUAUCCAUUUGUAUUUGUUCUCAAAGAACAAUUUCUUUUUAGUUACACAAUUAAAAGCAAAUGUCCACUUUUAUUACAAAAGCUACAUAAAAUAUUUGAAACCUUGACAAAAAUAUUUUUGAGUGAUUUUUGUUUUAAAGAGGUUUUGUAUCCAAUUUCUCCUUUAUCAAAAACAUACUUUUGAUUACUGAGCAUUAAAUCAAAAUUUUUCUUUCCUUCGGUAAACUUAUGGAUAAUUUGUGUUAAAUCAUUUACCUUUUCUUUCAAAGAAAUGUUUUCUUUUAUUAAAAGGUCAUGAUCAAUAUUCUCUCUUUGCUUUUCGGAAAUUUUCUUAAUUUCUUCUUUUAAAAUAGAGUUUUUCUUUUUAAGAAUAGCAUGAUUUAAAGCGAGUUUUUCAAAUUUUUCAAGCAUUUCAUCAUAAGAAAUUGAAAGCUCAUCAUAAGAACAUACCUCAUCUUCGAUUGCCAUGAAGCACAUAUUUGCCACUUCAUCUUGACUAUCAUUUCCAUUUUGUUCUUCGUCGUCGCUAUCAUCCCAUGUGGCUUGGAGUGCAUUCUUCUUAAAAUUUUUCUUUUUGUUUGGACACUCGGUUCUCUUGUGACCCGGCUUGUCACAAUCAUAACAAACAAUCUUUUUGUUUCUAUCUUCCCCUUUUUCUUCUUUCUUUUGGAAUCUUCGAUUAUUACGAAAACCUUUCCAUUUUUUGACAAGAAGGACCAAAUCAUCAAGUUCUUCAUCGCUCAUAUUUUCAUUUGAUGUUCCUUCUUCAAUUGCCGAUUUUAAUGCAAUUUGUGGUUUGGGAGAUUCCUUUGAUUCCUCCUUGCUUUUUCUCGUUCUCUCCUUAACCUCGGCAUUAUUUAGCUCAUAGGUCAUUAAUUUGUUGUAGAGCUCUUCCAAAGGAUAUGUACUUACAUCCUUAGUAUUCUCGAUCAACAUCCUCAAUGGACUCCAUUCCUUCGAUAAGGACCUAAGCAUUUUGCUCACAAGUUCACCGUUAGUAAAUUUACGAUCAAAGCCUUUAAGACCAUUUACAAUAUCGCAAAAACGAGUAAUCAUAUCAAUAAUAGGCUCAUUUUGUUUCAUAAAGAAAUUUUCAAAUUCUUUAACUAGCAUAUUUAUCUUUGUUUCCUUAACUUUACUUGUGCCAACAUGAGUGACUUCAAGAGCAUGCCAAAUAUCCUAUGCCGAAUCACAUGUACUAAUUCGAUUAAAUUCAUUUCUAUCAAGUGGACAUUAAAGUAGAUUUUUAGCCUUGGCAUUUAAUGAUAGUUUUUUCUUAUCUUCAUCAUCAUAUUCUUCUCUAGAUUUGGGAAGAGUUUGGUCCGGUCUACCAUCCUCCUUAAUAGUUUUAGUGGGAGCAUAUGGACCAUAUUCAAUAACUUUCCAAAUAUUGUAAUCAAUAGAUUGAACAUAUAUCAUCAUUCUAGCGUUCCAAUAAUUAUAAUCGGUACCAUCAAAGAAUGGUGGUCGGUUUGUAGAGUGCCCCUCACUAUUUUGAAAAACUUGGUUAGCCAUUACUCAAGAUUGUAAAAUAAAAAAAAAAAAAAAGGGUACCGAGCUCUGAUACCAAUUGAAAGCCCAAGAACAACUAACCAAGAGGGGGGUGAAUUGGUUAUUCGAUCUUUUUCGAAAAUAAGCGCAAAUUUAAGCAAAUAACUAUGCAUAAACAAGAUAACACAAAAGUAAUAAUAGGAAGGGAAAAGAGAGUGCAAACGAUGUAAUAAGGAGGUUCGAUCCAAUCAUGAUCUACGUCCCCUGUUACCAAGCUCUCCGUCACGAGCAAGGCCUUUUUCACGAUAUUAAUUGACUUAUGGUGCAAUCUAACCAUCUUACAACACUUUUGGUGACUUACAAAUAAGGAGCACUGUUCCUUUACAAUGUUGAAAUUUCUGGGACUUCAACUCGACCCAUAAGUUUGAAAGAUAAGGAGUAUACAAGUAAAGACUUCUCUUAUAAUAAAUGAUAUAAUUGAAGUUAAAUACAACAAGAGAAGAUGGCUAACACUUUAGUAGAUAGCAAUGAUUGAAGCUCAAGUGUUAGAAAUGAAAAACACUUUGAUAAGAAUGAUUUUUCAAAAGUUGGAUCAAUCAAAUGUUUUUCUAAUAAAUAGAUUGAAGAAAUAGAUGUAUAUAGGUGAUAGAUUACUGAUUUCUCACUUUAAAUGCUCAUAUAAAGUCUCAUAUUGAAUGUAAAGUGAUCUAGUAUUUAUAGCAACAAAAACGGCCAAAAGUUCUGUUCUACCGAACGAAGCUAACGGACGUCCACUAUCGUACUGGAUGGUCAACUAACCGUUUUUUGUUCAGAAGUCAGAACGUUCGAUUUCUUGACCGUUGGACAAACCUGUCAUACCGGAUGUCCGCUAGAAUUACCGGACUUGUCUGCUAGAGCUACCAGAUGCGUCCUUUAGCUACCGGAUGCGUCCUCUAGAUCAAUAUAUUUUUGGAAUUUUUCUUCUUUAAAUAAUGUAGCAAAAUGUAAAUUCAUGAAGGAUGUUUCUAACAUAUUUUACGGACUUUUUGACAUGUCAGAAAGUAUGUAAUACGUUCGUGCUUUUCUUUAUGCAAAAAUCGUGUUUGUCGUGCGAAGAAAUGUUGCUUAAGCUUCAAAUGACGUAUAUGCCAAAUACUAAAGUGUUUUACCUUAACAUUUGAAAUCAAGGUGUCUAAAUAUAUUUUCUUCUAAUUUCUUCUUGAAGUGAUCGCAGUCUUGAUAUGUAGCUUGAUUUCCACUUUGUCCAAACUUGCAAGAGCUCCGCUUGUCGUAAACUUCUAUAAUCACUUAAACACAAUUGUUGUUUGUUAUAAUCAAAACGAGAAGUCAACCGUAGGCCAAAAAACCUCUCUCGAUAGUUAUCAAAUAUAUUCCUCUCAUGCGACCUUCCUAUCCCUUGAUGAAAGAUGCGAACAUGAUAAAUGCAUUAAACGAGCUAGAACAUCUUAUAAAAACCAUAUGAAGGAUAGAUGUAUAUAUCUAUUCUCUAUUGAGCCUCACAAUAUUUAUUAUUUUGUGCUAAUGAUCCUAUAAUCUCUCUCGAUAAUAACAAAAUCCACAAACAAUUCAACUAGUAGCCAAUUAAUUGAAAAGCAUGAAAAUGAUAAUAAACAUCCAAACAAUUAAACAAAUUAAUGUCAAUUAAAUUAUUCAAAUUAAAAAUUCAUAACAAGGGUUCAUCACAUCCUAGAAAAUAUGAAAAGUUAGUCUAACAUAUUUAAAUUACAAAAAAUCAUAUAUAAGUGGAAAGACAGAAUCUGGAUUUUUGAUAAAUUGAGAAGAUGAAGACAAAUCUUGAAAUCUUGAAUCUCUUCAAUGAUUUCUUAAUAAAUCUCCACCUGCGUUCUCUCUUCUUUAUCCAAUACCAAGUUUGAAUCUUCACUUGAUUGAAUUCUUGCAAGUCCCCUUAAAUUCUCUCACGAAAAUAAUGAAUUCUCUCCUCCUUUGAUGAUGAUAAUUGAUGAAUAUAUUGGAGUAUAUUAUAUAUAAGAGAAAAGUAUGAGAGCCCCCUUUGUGUAUUCUCCUGUUAGGUAUCUGUAGUGGUCGAAAAUUGGUGAAAAAUCACGUUCAAAUUGGUUUCCAAAAGAUUUCCAAUCGAAUAAAGAAAGUUACACUCGUGCGCAGAUUUUUUUGUCUCUGCACAUCAGUCAGUAUUUUGAUCAUAACUUUGUCUCCCGAUAUCCAAUUGAGUGAUUCAAAAUUCGUUGGAAAGAUAACUAAAAGGGCUACAAUUUUCCUAGAAACAGAUAUUUUCCAAUUCGGACGUUUACUAUGCCAAAAAUUGGUCGCAAUCCUUGACUAAAAAUCUAAAAAAUAUAUCAUGUAAUUGGAAGUCGAUUUAUGGUAAUAUUCUGAUGAUAUUCCAUUCCUUUUUGACUUCUAAUUGCAUCCAGUUGACUCCCAUCAAUCUUUAAAAUAUCUCUUAUGGUCCAAGUCAACCAUUGGAUAUUUACUAUUUGGUCCUCAACUUUGUACUUCGCUAUUUUUCGCCUUUUUUUACUUCUUUCUUUCGGUUUAACUUCCAACCAUCGAGUUUUACCUAAUAAAUGAAAUAUACAACAAUUUAGGCUAUAAUUGCUUUAAAGAACUAUUAAAUAUAUAUAUUUUAGGUCUACAUAAGUGUAUAAUACACUUAUCAAACACUCCCAAAUAUAAACAUUUGUUUGUCUUCAAACAAAAUCAUAACUUAAUUUAACAAACACACAAACAUGUAAAAUAUUUUGGUUGGAUAAUCUCGCUUUUUACAUCGGGAAUGGAGAUCACCGUAUUAAAUUUACAAACUGCUUCAAAGUCACAAUAUCAAACCAAUAUCCAUUUUUUUAAUGCAAAAUCAACGUUUGUGUGUGUGUGUGUGAAGAACUAGGUAGGCAUUAAUGACUUCACAAGUUGUUCCAAUUUUUGACCCUCUAUGGUCAAAUUUAUUCUUUCAUCUCUCGUAAAAUUCGUAUACCCCCAAACUUAUUUUUUUCACUCUUUUCCCAGCAUGUGAUCUAAGAUUGAGUUUUUAAUUACUAUUCUCACCCUAUCCAAUUUGGGUGGAUGUCACUAGUUGCAAGUCAACACAUUAAUGAAUAAGGAUUCUCCAAUUAUUUGAUUGCUUCGACUGCAAGACUCAAGUAGGCUAAUUAUCUUUCAUCAAAAGUCAAAUUCCCUCGAACUAGUGUUAGGACUUAACAAGGUAUUUAAUGCAUUUUUAUUUUUAUUUUUAUUUUUUUUGAACUCUCCUUUAAGCUUUCUAGAUGACUCAUGUAGCAGGCUUUAGGUCGAUGACCUCCAAGUCAGACGACUUAAGGGCACUAGGUCUUCAAACACCCUUAUAGGCUUAAUAACCCGAGUUAAAAAGGCUUUGAAGAGAACAAUUAUUUAUUUUUUCAACGGCAACUUCAUCUUUGAGUGCUUUCUAAAUAACCCCUAUAGCGAGCUUUAGACCGAUGACUCCCAAAUUAGAUGACUUUAGGCAAUCAGGUUUUAAGAUACCCUUGCAGGCUUAAUUGCUCGAGUCAUAAAAGCUUCAAAGAGAAAUUUUAAAUUUUAAAAUAUAUGUCUUGAUUAGUGCAAUGUCCCUUAUCAUACACCUAUUCAAGAAAACUGACCUCCAACUUAAGACUUUCACCCAAUUUUAUCAUGUUCAUCUCAGACAAUCCAUACAAUUUUUUUUUUCACACAAGAAAUCCCUAGCCACAUCAGUAUCUUCCUACAAUAGUAAAAUCACCCCAAACUGUGCUAUAUUUGGUCUAAGAAUAAUUAGUUUAGUAUAGUUUGAGUAAAGCAUUUAUGUCCAACUAAAUCCACCUAUCAAGAGCAUGAAACAACUCAUUCCAUCACAAUGUCAAACUCAAUUCUUAUGCGCGUAUAAUAUCAAGUUUUGCAAGUUUAAGUUUCAAUCAAUCUAGCAUGCAAACUAUCCACAGUUUAUAUAUUAACACUAAAUCUCAAUUCAGAUCAUCAUUGCUGGCCAGGUUAUCCAACCCACACAAGCAUGCAAUCUAAUAAAAAAAUUUGUUGUUUUUUUUUUAAGUAGUACUAAACAAACGCACCAAAACACACAAGCAUACAAAAACCAAAAAAUUCAAUGUUUUUUUUUCACCCCCAAGCUUGAACCCGACAUUGUUCUCAAUGUCAUAAAAUAAAAGUAAGAGUAUAAGGGAAUGGGGAAGAAAAGGAAGAAAAUACUCCCCGAAGUUUUCUGUUGAAUAUGUGAGGCAGUAUGGAUGACGACUUGAAAAUCUCUAUCAUCAUAUUUCUCCUUUGGUCUGUGUUGGUUUGAGCGUUCCACGACGUUAUGUUCCUAACAUAGCAGUUAAAUCAAGCAUUAAAAAUCAAAUAACCUAGAACAUGUGUUACUUAGCCCAAACAAUCAAAAUACCGACAAUAAAUUCAAUGGCCUAAGUGGAGUAUUUAAGGAUGGUGAUACCUUACAAAUUAAAACGUGCCUAAAUCUAAUGCAACCAAAUAAUCAAAAUAAAUCUAUAUGCUAUGCGAUGCAGAAAGCAAAAUAAAUAAAAGCGUUAGAAGAUUGGGUUGCCUCCCAAUAAGCGCUUAAUUUAUAGUCUUUAGCUAAACUGUACGGAGAAAUUGAUCAGGGUGGUUUAAACAUGUAUCUUGAGUUUUUGCACUCCUUGCAAUUUUCGGCUUUGCAUCCUCGUUUUGCCUUCCAAACCUUGAACCCUCCGUUCCUCUCUCGUCCAAGGCUUCCUAAAUUUUUUGGUUUUGUCUCCUUCGAGCCUUGUUGCACCUUUGCAGUAAUAUAAUUGGACUCUUCCUUAGUUUUUUUUAUUGAUCUCUCUAUGUACUGGAUUCUCGAUAGUGUUUUAGAUCUUAAAAUUCUCUUGUUUAUCUUCCACUCUCAAUGUUAGUUCGCCACUUUCAAAGUCCAUGACAGCUCGGCUUGUUGAUAGGAAGGAUCUGCUCAAGAUAAGUAACACUGCAUCCCAUGGCUCCUCUAUAUCUAGGACAACAAAAUCAAUGGAGAAUAUAAAUUUUCCUACUUUAAUGAGCACGUUCUCAACUACUUCUCCCGGGUAUUUGAUUGAUCUGUCUGCUAAUUGAAGGGAGAUAGAUGUAUCCUUUAGCUCUUUCAAUCCUAAUUCCCUACUGAAGGGCAUUAGGUUUAUAUUUGCUCCUGAGUCACAUAAAUAAUUAAAAUUUGAAUCAUUCCCUAUUGAGCAACGUAUUUUGAGACUCACUGGAUCUUGUAGCUUAGGAGUUAAUUUAUUAUGCAAUAUGGCACUACACACCUCAUUUAACUUGAUUGUCUCGAAAUCUGUAAGCCUUUUCUUUUUGGAUAGAAUCUCUUUCAGAAACUUUGCAUAGUUUGGUAUUUGAGAUAUAGCUUCAAUUAGUGGAAUGUUAACAUGAAGCUUCUUGAAGAUAUCCAAGAACCUUGCAAACUGUUCUUCCAACUUCAUCUUUUGCAAUCUCUGUGGAAAUGUGACAGGAGGCAAAUAAGGUUUGAUAUGGGCGAUUGUCUUAACCUGUAGAUUUUCAGACUCUUGAUGUGAAACUAUUUUAUCUGGCUGUUCGGAUUUAUCCACUUGCUCCUCAUCUAUGGAAGGUACUUUUUCAUUUACUUUUACCCGUCUUUCGACUGUGAUUUCUGGAAAUUGAAUCCCAUUGCGUGUAGUGAUUGUCCCAACCUCCUCAUUCUCUACAACUUUUACUACCAUUACUUGCUGUUUAGGAUUUAUGUCAGUGUCGCUUGACAAUGCUCCUUGUUGUCUUUCUGAGAGUGCUUUAGCUAUUUGUCCCAUUUGAUUCUCCAAAUUUUUUAUGGCAGCAUCCUGAACUUGCAAGCUCUUAUUCGUUCUCUGCAUAUGUUGAGUGGACAUUUCUGUUAACUUAGUCACAAGAUCUUCUAACGAAGUCUUCUUCUCAUUCUGCUGAAAUUCGGGUGGUGCGGUCUGCUGUGGAGCAAUGUGAGCUCCCUGAUUAUUACUCCAUUGAAAACCUGGGUGAUUUCUCCAGUCUGGGUAAUAUGUGUUAGGAUUUGGAUUGUGUUGUUGCCUUUGAAAAUUCUGAGUGUAGUUCACGUCUUCUAUUUUCUGAGCAAAAUGAGAUCCUAUGUUACAAUCAACACUCUCGUGGUUCCCUCCACAAUGUUUGCAUUUCGGUCCCACUGUUUGGGCUACACUCAUCUGAUUUACCUUUUGUGCCAAUGAUGCCAAUUGUGCUAAAAGUGCUGUUAAAGAAUCAACUUCGAAUACCCCAACAACUUUCUUUCUGCUCGUUCUUUCAGUAGGCCAAAGUACACUGGUAAAUGCCAAAUCCUCCAUGAUUUGGUAGACCUGGUUCGCGGUUCUUUUUGUGAUAGAACCAUCGCACGCAGAGUCUAUGUUUGCCCUGCUAUUCGGGUUCAAACCAAUGUAAAAGUAUUGCACUUGAAGCCAUUUCUACAAUCCGUGUUGUGGGCACUGGCGAAGUAAACCCUUGUAUCAUUCCCAAGCCUCUGAAUAGCAUUCUGAGUCCAUUUGCUGAAAAAUGGUGAUCUUGUCCCUUAGCCUUGCAAUCCUUUUUGGUGGGAAAUAUUUGCUAUGAAAUUUCUGACUCAAUUGGUUCCAUGUUGUAAUGCUCUGCGGUGGGCAAAUGUCUAACCAUUCCCUUGCUGAAUCCCUCAAUGUGUAUGGGAAGAGCCUUAGUCUAAUUGCUUCGCUUGAAACCCCCGAAUACUCAAUUGUUGCACACAUGUCCAGAAAUCUUGAUAUAUGAGCGUUGAGAUUCUCUGUAGCUUUCCCAAAAAAUUGUAGCGCAUUUUGGAACGUGUUGAUGACAUCUGUCCUCAGGUGGAAGUUUGCCUGAUCAAACGUCGGAUAUACGAUACUCGACUGGCUUUCCACUACCGGUGGAACCAUAUAUUCUCCCAUGAGCCUUGCAUUUUCAUUGACUACAGCGAUAUUCGGUUGUGCUACUCCUAGAUUAGCCCCGAUGGCUAAUUGAUUCGGAUUUUCGUUUGCCAUGUCUUCCUCUUUCUAUUUUUGAUGUGUUUCAAGCUGUUGUCUUCUUUGAAAGUUGAAUGUUCGUUCGAUUUCUGGGUCAAAUUGAGCAAGAUCACCAGUUCUUGAACUUCGCAUACAAAGUCUUGAAAAAGAAAGCAAGAAACACUGUAAAAAAAAUUUAAAUUAAUGAACUAAACUAAAAAUAAGAAAAAUUCAGAUUAAAGUUAAAAUUAACUAAAACUAGUCAAAAACAAUAGUCCCCAGCAACGCCUCCAAAAACUUGAUCGAUUGAUUACCUGCAAGUGAACGAGAUCGUGAACAAGUAAUAAAGUGGUGUGUAGAGUAUCGAACCCACGAGGAUUAUGUGUUUGAUCGAGUUAAAACUAAUAAUUCCCUUAAUCGAAUAGCAAGGUCAAGUUGUAACUAACACUAUUAAAUCUAUCAACUAAAUAGAAAGCAAGUAAAAAUUUAUCAAAUUUGCGAGAAGUAUUGCUAAGAUGUGGAAUCCCCUUGCUACUCCAUUUUUAGUUCGACAAUUUAAAUUGACAAUUUGAAAUCAUGCUUGUUGGUCAAUGUUCCUAUUUUAAUUGAAAACCUCUCUCGAUAGUUAUCAAAUAUAUUCCCCUCAUGCGACCUUCCUAUUAUUCGAUGAAAGAUGCGAACAUGAUAAAUGCAUUAAACGAGCUAGAACAUCUUAUAAAAACCAUAUGAAGCAUAGAGAUAUAUCUCCAUCUUUUAUCGAACCUCACAAUUUAUAUUAUUUUGUGCUAAUGAUCCUAUUGUCUCUCUCGAUAACAACAAAAUUCACAAACAAUUCAACUAUUGGCCAAUUAAUUGAAAGACAUGAAAACGAUAAUAAACAUCCAAAUAAUUAAACAAAUUAAAGUCAAUUAAAUUAUUCAAAUUAAAAAUUCAUAACAAGGGUUCAUCACAUCCUAGCAAAUAUGAAAAAUUAGCCUAACAUAUUUAAAUUACAAGAAAUCAUGUAUAAGUGGAAAGACAUAACCCGGAUUUUUGAUAAAUUGAGAAGAUGAAGACAAAUCUUGAAAUUUUGAAUCUCUUCAAUAGUUUCUUAAUAAAUCUCCACUUGCGUUCUCUCUUCUUUGUCUGAUACCAAGUUUGAAUCUUCACUUGAUUGAAUUCUUGCAAGUCCCCUUCAAUUCUCUCACAAAAAUAAUGAAUUCUCUCCUCCUUUGAUGAUGGUAAUUGAUGAAUAUAUAGGAGUAUAUUAUGUAUAAGAGAAAAGUAUGAGAGCCCCUUUGUGUAUUCUCCUGUUAAGUAUCUGUAGUGGUUAAAAAUUGGUGAAAAAUCACAUCCAAAUUGGUUUCCAAAAGAGUUCCAAUUGAAUAAGGAAAGUUACUCUCGUGCGCGUUGUCUCUACAUAGUAGUCAGUAUUUUGAUCAUAACUUUGUCUCCCGAUAUCCGAUUGAGUUGUUUCAAAAUGCUUUGGAAAGAUAAUUAAACGGGAUACAAUUUUUCUAGAAAUAUGUGUUUUCCAAUUCGGACGUUUACUAUACCAAAAAUUGGUCGCAAUCCUUGGCUAAAAAUCUGAAAAAUAUAUCAUGUAAUUGGAAGUCGAUUUAUGGUAAUAUUCUGAUGAUAUUCCAUUCCUUUUUUACUUCUAAUUGCAUCCAAUUGACUCCCAUCAACCUUUAAAAUAUCUCUUAUGGUCCAAUUCAACCAUUGGAUAUUUGCAAUUUUGUCCUCAACUUUGUACUUCGCCGUUUUUCGCCGUUUUCCACUUCUUUCUUUUGGUUUAACUUCCAACCAUCGAGUUUUUACCUAAUAAAUGAAAUAUACAACAAUUUAGGCUAUAAUUGCUUUGAAUAACUAUUAAAUGUCUAUAUUUUUAGGUUUACAUAAGUGUAUAAAAUACACUUAUCAAGAAGGAAUGCAAUCGUAAACAAAAAUAUUUCAAACGAAAUGGUGGUCUUUUAUUACGGCAACAAAUAUCUACUAAAGAAGGCCAUGUAGAAAAAACAAGACUUUUCACAGCUAAGGAGUUAUCAAAGGCAACCGAUCAGUUCAAUGAAAGUAGAAUACUUGGACGAGAUGGUGAAGGUAGAGUUUAUAAGGGCAUGUUAUCUGACGGGAGAACUGUUGCAGUAAAGAAGUCCAAGUUAGUAGGUGAAAAUGGAUUGGAUGAGUUUAUAAAUGAGGUCGUAAUCCUUUCUCAAAUUAACCACAGAAAUGUUGUUGCGCUACUUGGAUGUUGUUUGGAGACAGAAGUUCCUUUGUUGGUUUACGAGUUUAUUGCUAAUAGAACCCUCUUCAAUCACAUCCAUGACCUGAGUGCUGAGUUUCCUAUGACAUGAGAUAUGCACCUAAAAAUUGCAGCAGAGGUAGCAGGAGCUCUUGCUUAUCUACAUUAUUCAACUUCCACACCCAUUUAUCACGGGGACAUCAAGUCGAGCAAUAGCCUUCUAGAUGAAAACUAUAGACCCAAAGUGUCAGAUUUUGGAAUUUCAAGGUCUAUCGCAGUAGAUAAAACUCACUUCACCACCUUAGUUAAGGGGACCUUUGGCUAUCUAGAUCCAGAAUACUUCCGGUCAAGCCAAUUUACUGAUAAGAGUGAUGUCUAUAGCUUUGAUGUUGCUCUUAUUGAGCUCUUAUCAGGACAGAAACCAAUAAUUUCAAGUGAUAUAGAAGAUGAAAGAAGUUUAGCUGUGCGUUUUCUUAUGUCUAUGGAACAAAACUGCCUUCAUAAAUUUUUUGACCCUAUAAUUUUAGAGCAUGAUAAAGAUGAAGACAUUAUUACUGUUGCUACUUUAGCAUAUAGAUGCUUGGAUUUGAAUGAGAAGAAAAGGCCAACAAUGAAAAAAGUCAGCAUGGAAUUGGAGAAUAUCAGGCUAUUUAAGGUGCAAGCGACUGUCCAAAGGAAUACGCAAGUAAUCAGCACUAAAGUGGGAUCAGUAUCGCUAUCAGACCUCAACUCCACAUGGACAUCUAGUGAUCAUGAGAGCAGUGUACCAUCAGAAACCAAUCCUUUGCUACAUUACACUGUUUGAUGGAACUAGCAUGCAUGUUUUAUGUUCUUGCAAUUAGGACUAAAACAAAGUUGGUUUUAUUAUAAAAACAGUAAUAAAAUAUAUUUUUGUGACUUUUCUGUUACAGUAAGAUACAGUAAUUCAAAAUUUGUUCCCAGAUGGAGAGAAUAGAGAAUGGGAGGAAAAACUGAGGCACACAAGUAUGGGCAUUGGGACCUUUAGGAUUAGUCCCUACCAAGAUUUUUCUUUAUCCAAAUGUUAAGGUUCUUAAGAUUACAUUUUGGAAAGUGAUUCGAACACGAACAUGUGUUAAGAACCCCUAAUAAAUUUCUUAGAUUACAGUUUUGGAAAGGCAUUACAAUAAUGGGUAUAAUGUUUACAAAAUUAAAACAAAAAGACAUAAUACUUGAGAUCUACAAGUAUUAUCCAUUUUUCCACAGCUCAUUUCUAUAUAUCUUAUAAUUUAAACUGAAAUGGUGGUGGAAUAAUACCUCUUGAUCUACCUGGUGGCCAUUCGCGUUCUUGCUACUUCGACGUGCGUAUACAACCUGAAAAGUGAGGACGGGGCUUUCUCCCUCAUUUUACCUUUGGCAUAAGAAUCAGUAUAAGUGUUAGGAAAAAUAAGGAUAGAGUCCAGAUAGCUAAAAAAAUGUCAAUCCCCUUACUUGUGUCGCCUUCGGGAGUAUUUAUAGGAGCUGAAAGUUGGGUGAAUGCCGGGCAAUCAAGGUACCACGUGUUCCACGUUGGCUUUUCCACUACCCCACGUUCUCCUGGGGGAUCUAUAACUUCCCGCCUAGAGGCUGUGCCCAUAAUAACCGCCAUGGAGCUUUGUCAAUUUACCUGAGACUUUUUGACUAAGUGUUAGGGUGGCCACAUAGGUCACUUUCGGGGGGUAGAUGAUUUUGCGUAAAGGUAGAGCGCUUCGGGGGGUCGAUGGCCUCACGUAAAGGUAGAGCGCCCUCGGGGGGUCAAUGACCUCGCGUAAAAGUAGAGCGUCCCAGGGGGAUCGAUGGACUCACGUAAAGGUAGAGCUCCCCAGGGGGGUCGAUGGCUUCGAUUUAAAACUACCGCAAGUGUACGGUUCGUUAACAAGUAAUAAAGUAGAUUAAAUGAGUCCGAAUAUCGUCCCACAGAGAUUGAUUAGUUCAAUUUUACCUAUCGCUGCCUUAACUGAAACUAAAUUACUAAAGUGAAUGUGAACCUAUUAAAACCCUAAUUUCGAAAAGAAAACCCUAAUUAUGCAAUUUUUAUGAUUGAAUUAAAUUAAAUAUAAAAAAUAAUAUUUUUAACACUCUAAAAUGAAAUCAAAUGUUGAGAACACACGUUUGUUGUAAUCAACAGAAAUUAAACACACUAGGAUCACGAUUUUUAAUGCAAUUAUCACUUUAAAACCCUAGUUUCACAAUGUGACAACACACUUCAAUUGUGACGAAUCAAUGUUCCUAAGUCUAUCGAAUACUCUCUCUCGAGAUGUAUCGAACCUAUUUCUACAUACCACUGGCCUAUAUUUCUAUGACAAGUGUAUAUGUAAAAAUGCAUGCGAUUUUAUGAACACUUAAAGAUUCACAUAGGGCAUAGCAGUAUAUUUCUAUCCCCUAUCUGACCCUACGAUGAUUUAUAUUAUGUCGAACCUAUUCCAAUUAUCUCGAAUGCAAGAAUAAAUCACCCAAACUCACACAAUUAUGGGCCCUUAAUUGCGGAAACAAUAAUUGCAUAUAAAUCAUUCAAAACAAUAGAAAUAUGUCUUGAUGUCAAAUUGCAAAACUAGAAAAUUAAAGAUCAAAUUACAUGGCACAUCGAUCUCCUAGCACAUGAAAAUCUAGCCUAACAUAGUUAAAAUAAAAGAAUAUAUCAGACUUUGGAUAAAAGGCAUCACCGGGUUAUGAAAUCUUGAGAAAUCUUGAAGCUCUUCGUGUAAAUCUUCGUUCUUGCGCUCAAAAUCCUCUCCAAGAAGUGUUUUUGUGCAUCCAAUAUGUUUUGCCUCUUUCUAGACGUCUUUUGGUAUUUAUAUCGCGCGAAAAUUAGGUUACCAAAAGAGUUUCAGUCGUAUAAGGAAACUACAGAAUCGACCCCGAAUCUUUGUUCUAUGUGAUCACAUAGUAAAUUUCUAUGCGGUUGCAUAGAGUAAAAAGAUUUGAGAAAAAAUUCUCGGAAGGCCUCUAUGCAACCGCAUAGAGGAUAGCAUAGUGCUACCAACUAUGCAGAAUGUCUAUUUUGGUCCUUAAACUUUCAUUUUUCUUCAUUUUAGUCCCUUUGCAAUUCCUUCUUCUUCCAAUCAUUUUGUAUCGCUUUUGAGUUCAUACUUAGCAUAUUUGUAUUCCCGGGUUGCCUUUUAGUUCAACUUUUGAAUAUUUGCAUCCUUAGUCCCUGAACUAUCACUUUACUCCAUUUUAGUCCUUUUUCGGCUCUUUUCUCCUGAAUUCCACCAUUUCCAUAGAAACGCCUACAUUGCAUGAAUUCAAUGAGAUUAAGUUACAAUUUAAACAUUUUGCUCGUAAUUAAAUCAUGUUUGUGAUCUAAAUAAGUGUACCAACCCCCCCAACUUGAACUAUUGUUUGUCCUCAAACAAGAUAGUGACUUAAUUCUGAACAAACAUGGCUUAAUUCCCUAUCGUGGCUCAGGAUUGGACUAAGUAUUUGACUUUAUGACAAUUUAUCACUGCAAAAAUGACAUCAACCUUUACCUGUUAAAUGCAUACUUGACGUGUGUGUGUGAAUUCAUGCCAACAUAUCAAAUUCAUAAUGGGUUGAGUCCCGACCCCAAGUGGUCAAAUGUAUCCUUACUCGCUCGAGAGAUACACAACCCCCCAAACUCCCCAAACUUACUCUUUUCACUCAAUUAUCCCGAGGUUGUGUUUUAAAAUUAGGAGUUUACAUAGCUGUAGUCCUCACCCUCUCGUAGUUUGGAUUAAUCUCACUAUCACAAGUUUACAUUUCAACAAGUGAAGGCUCUCCCAAGUUUGAUUGCUUCGACACUCAAGAUUAAAAUAGGUUACUUGCCUCGCCUCAAAGGUAUAGUUUCCUGAACCAAAUGUCUAAGGACUUUUCUUCAUGUUAUUGUCUCUUUUUUAUUUUUCUCACUUUCCAUUUUUUUAAUCAUAUUCUCAUUUACUUUCUAUAUAACCCAUGUAACGAGCUUUAGACUAGUUACUCCCAGGCCAGUUGACCUUAGGGCACCAGGUUUUAAACCCUUGCAGGCUUAUUCACUCAAGUUAUAAACGCAUGAUCAGAUGACUUUUUAUUAACCUCUUCCCUUUUGCUUUCUAUAUGACCCCUUUAGUGAGCUUUAGGCUAUUGACUCCCAAGCCAGUUGACCUUAGGGCACCAGGUUUUGAAAUAUUCUUACAGGCUUAUUUGCUCGAGUCAUAAAGGCAUGAAAAGAAGUGUCUUAUUCUCACAAAUUAAUUUUAUGCCCUUAUUGUUCUAGACAUUUGGUUUCCAAAACCAAUCCCCAAUUUAAGAUUUUCACCUAAUCUUCACCACUGGUCUAGGCAAUCCACACAAUAAAAUUUCAUGCACGGAUCCCCCGCUUAUCUCAAUGCUCCCUAUGAGAGAUCAACCAAUUCCAAACUGUCUUAAGGUGAUUUACGUGUUAAUUCAAUACAGGGUUAUCAUUCCUUUCCUACUUUAUGCUCAAAAUCUAGUCAUUCACCUAACAUGUCAAGCAUGAAUAGCGUGCAUAGAUAAUGUCAAGUAUUGCAUCACAAGUAUUGAUUAAUCUAUUUAGCACUAUAUCUAAAGUUCAUAAAUUAUACCAAUCCAAUAAUCACAUCAUAGCCGGCAAGGCUAUCAAGCCCACACAAGAAUGUAAAAGUAUAAUCAACACUCACUCAUCAAGCAUGCAUCAUGCAACAAUUAGUUAAUAAUAACGACGGACUGUGAAAAUGCAAAAUAAUUACAUGCUGACUAUUUGUUUUAAAUUAUGCCACCAUCCUCCAAACUUAUACAGUACAUUGUCCUCAAUGUAAAAAUUAAAGUUUAAAUGACAUAAUUUAAGAAAAAAAAUGAACACAAAAUAGUAAAAUGAGGUAAACAAAACUCCCCUGAUCAAUACGGUGGCUGUGAUGGGAGGCUGGGUCCUGUAGCAUCAUCUCCAGAAGGGGGAGGAAGGCGGGAUAAAAUCUCUCUCAACAGGCCAGACUGUUAGGUCUGCUCCACUUGCAUAGCCUGAACCCUGGUCUCCAAACUUCCUAAAUGGUCCCAUGUCUCAUUCACUCGCCACUGUAUACCAUCCAUCCUGCCAAUGUACAUUCCCAAUCUCCCAUCAAAAGUACUCAUCUCUCUUCUUGUUGCAAGGGACUCACUGGUGGCAUUGGAUGUAAAGUUUCUUGUGAUUGCCAUAUCAUUCUGCAUCUGCUGGAUGGUGGCACUCAUUGCUCCAAAUGAUUGCUGAAGACUCUGCAUGUCUCGACUGUGUCCUAUCAUAGUGGCAAACAUUUGCCUCAAUAACUGGGUAUCAAUGUUAAUCGGUGGUGGAAGAACUUGUGGCAUCUCGAAGUUCUCAGCUGCUUGUCCUUUCUCAGCCUGUUGCUGUCGGCAUCGCUCAUUUUCUAACUUCUGUUGAUGUUUAACUCUGGUUUGGUCCUGUGCCUCUAGUGUGAGGUGCUUGAUAUAGGGACUUAGUUUUUUUGGUGCUUCCCCAUGCUGGACUUGUAUGCCCGCAGCUCUACAUAUCCCACUUAUCAAACUUGGGAAAAUUAGUGAGGUGUACUUGUCUCCCCAUGUGCCUAUAUUCUGUAUCUGGUUGUAGAUGCAUGUGGCCAAAUCAAUCUUGUUUCCCCGAACCAAAUGAUAGAUAAACCCCGCCUUUAGAUUUGUGAAUGUUGUCCUAUAGGAUAUGGGCUUGAUGUUGUAGCAUAUGAAUAACCAUAGGAUAGCUAGAGAUGGGGUAAGAUCAAUCUGAUACCAAUCUACAGUCGGUAGAGGCCAAGCAUGCUCACGUCCCAAUAAUACUUCUGCAACCUCAAUCCAAUUGAAAUUAUGUGGGACGAGGACCACAUUAUUCCAGAUUAGCUGAUAAUAGUCAUGAAUCACUUCAGUGAGAACAUAAUCCAUUUACCCCAAACCCAUGUUUGAUGUAGAUGAUUUGAUCUAGGAGUGUCGAUUUCUGUAUUGAAGUUGGCAUAGAACUCCUUCACCAGAUUUUCAUACACUGGAUACGGUCUUUCAAUUACUUUCUCCCAACCACAGUUGUGGAUUAAGUAAACUAAUUCAAAAUCGGGGAAAUCUUCCAACUUAACUGGCCUUUCGGGGAUGAGUGCCCACUCAUGGAUAACAUUGGCGUAACAGGCUGCUGUGUCUGAGGAUAGAAAUCUCUUGACAUCUCCUUCGAGCUUUCUAGUUUGGGCUGUGCCAAAUGCGGAACCAACCUUCUCUUUUCCUUUUGAUGUUCUCUUUGGCGACAUUCUACAAAGGUAAGAAAAGAGGUGUAUCAGGCUAUUGACUUAUGAUAAUUAAGAAAACGAGAGAGGAUGUUUGUGAAGUGCAAAAUCCCCCAAACUUGCUUUAACAUGCAUGUAUAACACAUUGGUGUGCAAGCUUCAAAACAUGAUAUUCAAGAUAGCAGAAAUACUGCACCAAAAGGAAGAACUAAGAAAACUAGGUCGAAACAUGCACAUUUUAAAAAGUGGAUCCAUGACCGAGUGCGCACUUUCGGCCCUGCGUAUCAUCAAGAAUUAUCGACAUUUUCUCGACAACCUCUGAGCAUAUGAAAGAAUUCAAUGAGAUCUAGCACAAACUCAAUUUUCAACUCAAUUGGAUGUCGUUUGGUGUGUCAAAUGAUUGUGUAAAGUAGGGGACGUAAGGUGCCGUGACCUAGCCAUGUGCAUGUGUGUUGAUGUUGGGUGUUGGUGUUUUCUAAUUCAAAUUGUGUGGUAAUGCAUCAAAAAAAGGUAAUCCAUUCAAACAUCAAUCAAAUGCCACACUAGAUGCACAAAAAUGCAAUAGAAGUUUAACUUAGGCAUUUUAUCGAACAUAUUGUGUGCACUAUGAAAUUUUCCUAUUUUGGUUAUUGACGCUUUGUCAAUUGGCUCCACAUUCACAUAUUAAUCACAAACGCAAUUGGCUCCACAUUCACAUAUUGAUCACAAACCUAAAUGUAAUCCUUGUCAAUGACUGAAAAUUUAGACAACCCAAAUCCCAAAUUUCGAAAUUGUAAAGUAAUGUGUAUGGUGCUUACCUUGGAAACUUUAGUAGACUUGUAGGAUUUGAACCCUUUGCUCACUUCAAAUGUGUGAUGGAUUAAAAAUUGGUGCGUGUUUGUUGUGUUGAUAUUAUGGGUUGAGGGUUUGGGAGAGAUGUGGGUGCAUAUAUGUGUGUGAGUGCGAGAGAUGAACGAAGGGAGAGGAAAGGGGAAUGAGUGAAAGUGAACCGAUCAUGGUUUAAAUCAUUGACCGAUUCACCACUAUGCGGCCGUAUAGUUUUAACCUAUGCGGUCGCAUCGUGAUAAGGUUGCCCCCUCAAUUAUUUUCGGUUGAUGUCUAUGCGACCGCAUAGACAUUAUUUCUAUGCUAUCGCAUAGGCAAUUUUUUUUUUUUUUAAGAACAAAACAAAAUAAAAUACAAACAUUGAUUCCUCCUCUUUGAACUCUCUAGCACACAUUUGUCCUUUAGAUUUUUGAAAACGUCCUUUUAUCUUGAAAUGAGUGAAUUAUGCUCUCAAUCACCCAAAACCAUUUCAAGCUUAUCGAACAUGUGUUCUAUGCCUAGGAAUUCAUGUGAACGAUACUUAGAUUUUAUUGACAUGCAUAGAUGAUCGAUGACCUAUACCUAAAAAAUCAAACGUGAAAAUCAAAAUUUCCUAAGCUAAUGCCAAAAUUAAAAGUAAUGAAAAAGAUACAGUGGGUUGCCUCCCACCCAGCGCUAGUUUAUAGUCCAUAGCUUGACUUUUCUGCAGCUGCUUUAUUCUGGCAUCUUGAGUUGAACGGUGGACUUUUAGUUGGAGAAGUCAUCGCCCCAGUAGUGUUUUAGCCUUUGCCCAUUAACAGUGAAAGUACCCUUAGUCUCAUGGUUAACUUGUAUAGCCCUAUAUGGUAGGACUUUCGUGACAGUGUAAGGACUCGACCACCGUGAUUGUAGUUUUCCUGGGAACAGCUUGAGUAUCGAAUUAUACAAUAGCACUUGCUACCCCACAUCGAAUUCUCGCCUCUGAAUAUGCAUGUCAUGCCACUUCUUGGUUCGUUUCUUGUAGAGUUUUGAAUUUUCAUAAGCUUCCAUUCUAAAUUCAUCUAACUCAUUAAGUUGUAGUAGGCGCUUUUCGCCGGCUGCAGUCAAGUCCAUAUUUAACUGUUUCAUAGCCCAAUAUGCUCGGUGCUCCAUUUUUAAUGGCAGAUGGCACGCUUUUUCAAAAACUAGGCGGUAUGGAGGCAUGCCUAUCGGUGUCUUGAAUGCUGUCCUGUAAGCCCACAAUGUAUCAUCCAACUUUUUAGACCAGUCCUUUCUAGAUGAGUUCACUAUGAGCUCAAGUAUUAUCUUCACCUGCUGAUUAGAUACUUCAACUUGCCCGCUGGUUUGUGGAUGAUAUGGGGUAGCAACAUGGUGUUUAAUGCCAUAUUUAUUCAAUAGCUACUCAAACUGGCGAUUAUAGAAGUGUUUGCCCCCGUCACUGAUCAUAGCUCGCGGUGUACCAUAUCGGGUGAAAAUAUAUUUCUUCAAGAACCCAAUUACUGCCUUUGAGUCAUUUGUUGGUAGUGUAACUGUUUCCACCCAUUUUGAUACAUAGUCCACUACUACCAAGAUGUACUGAUUUGAGAAUGAAGGGGGAAAAGGUCCCAUGAAGUUAAUUUCCCAAACAUCGAAUAUCUCCACUUCCAAAAUGUUAUUCAGCGGCAUUUCAUUCCUCCUUAAGAUAUUUCCAGUGCGUUGACAUCUGUCACACCCCUUGACAAACUCAAAGGCAUCUCUAAACAGUGUAGGCCAGUAAAACUUUGAUUGUAGAAUUUUGCAGCUGUUUUCGAAGCCCCAAAGUGCCCUGCAUAUGCAGAUGAGUGGCAAUGCUCGAGAAUCUCAUGUACUUCUUCUUCAGGUAUACAUCUCCUUCAUAUCUGAUCAGCCCCUCGCCGAUAGAGAAUUGGAUCCUCCCAGAAAUAAUACUUUAAUUCGUUGAAGAACUUUUUCCUCUGGUGACUUGAGUAGUCUGACGGUGGGAUGGAACCGGCCAAGUAAUUGACGAUAUCUACGUACCAAGAUGCUUCAUCUACUCUCAACAUCUGCUCAUCCGGGAAGAUCUCAUUGAUGUCCACUAAUUCUUCUGUCUCCCUAGGCCCUAAUCGGGAUAGGUGGUUUGCUACUACAUUCUCACUGCCCUUCUUAUCUUGUAUCUCGAUAUCAAAUUCUUGCAGCAACAGCACCCAACGAAUCAAUCUCGGCUUUGCAUCCUUCUUUGUGAGUAGAUACUUCAAUGCAUCAUGAUCUAUGUAGACGAUGACUUUAGACCCGAUAAGGUAUGAUCGAAAUUUGUCGAAUGCAUAUAUCACGACCAACAGCUCCUUUUCAGUGGUGGCAUAAUUGAUUUGCGCAUCAUUUAAAGUUUUGCUUGCAUAGUAGAUCACAUGAAAAAUCUUGUUCCUCUGCUGUCCUAAUACUGCACCCACGGUGUGAUCACUGGUAUCACACCUCAAUUCAAAAGGCAGUUUCCAGUCUGGUACCAUGAUUACUGGUGCUGUCGUGAGUUUCUCCUUUAAAGUGUUGAAUGCUAUGAAACAUUCCUCAUUAAACUCAAAGGCCACACCUUUCAUUAGCAGAUUGUAUAACGGCUUAGUGAUCUUUGAGAAAUCUUUUAUAAAUCUCCUGUAGAACCCCGAUGCCCCAAGAAGCUGCAAACUCCUUUAACUGAUGUAGGCGGUGGUAACUUCUCAAUAACUUGAAUUUUUGCCUUAACGACCUUAAUUCCUUUUGCCGAGAUCCGAUGCCCGAGUAGAAUGUCUUUCUGCACCAUAAAGUGACAUUUCUCCCAAUUUAAAACCAUGUUAGUCUCCUUGCAUCUCUAUAAGACCAAAUUUAGGUGUUCUAGACAUUCAUCGAAUGAAGAUCCAAACACUGAGAAGUCGACCAUGAAAACCUCAAUAAACCUUUCAAUCAUAUCGGAGAAUAUUACCAUCAUAUACCUCUGAAAUAUAGCUGGAGCAUUGCAAAGACCAAAAGACAUCCUACGAUAAGCAAAAGUACCGUAGGGGAAAGUUAAAGUGGUCUUCUCCUGAUAAUCUGGUGCGACAGGUAUCUGAUUGUAGCCCGAGUAUCCAUUAAGGAAGCAGUAGUGUGAAUGUCCAGCCGACCUCUCCAACAUCUGAUCAAUGAAUGGAUGUGGAAAGUGAUCCUUUCGUGUAGCUGCAUUGAGUUUGGAUAAUCGAUACAAACUCUCCAUCCCAUAACUGUUCUUGUGGGAAUUAAUUCAUUCUUCUCAUUUUCACCACUGUGAUUCCCCCUUUUUUCGGCACCACUUGAACUGGACUAAUCCAUGCACUAUCUGAAAUUGGGUAGAUAAUUCCUACAUCCGGUAAUUUUAAUAUCUCUAUCCUGACUACUUUCUUCAUGUUUAGAUUCAAUCUUCUCUGACCCUCUAUACUUAGCUUGUAAUUUUCUUCCAUUAGAAUUUUAUGCAUACACAGAGAAGGGCUGAUCCCUUUAAUGUCAGCUAUUGUCCACCCAAUCGCCGUCUUGUUCUCUCUGAGUACCCUGAGCAAUUUUUCUUCAUCCACCUCACUGAAUAUGUUCAAAAUGAUUACUGGAAGUGUAUCUGACUCCCCCAAAUAUGUAUAUCUGAGAUGUGGCGGUAGUUGCUUGAGUUCCAAAACUGGCAGUUGCUGAAUGGAAGGUAAUGACUUUGUAUUUCCCAUCUCCAGUUCCUCGAAGUGCCUCUUUCGAGUGUAUGGAGGGUUGGUCUCCAUAAACCUUGCACAUGUUUCAACUUCAAGAGAAUCUGACUGAACUGAUUGGGAUUGUGCAAUGCAUGCCUUAUAGGCGUCAGAUGGGCCAUGAAUUAAGAAUGUUUCUUGGAUUGACUUGUCAAUGAUGUCAACUUGGUAACAGCUAUCUGAUUCUGCUGGCAGUUUCAUGGCCUUGAAUACAUUGAACAAUAACUACUCCUCUCCCAAUCUUAAGAUCAACUACCCCCUUUGAACAUCAAUUAAUGCUCUCCCUGUUGCCAGAAAUGGUCUGCCAAGUAUCAAUGAGACAUCCUUUUCUUCUUCCAUGUCCAAUAUAAGAAAAUCUGCUGGGAAUAUGAACUUUUCAACCUUGAUAACCACAUCUUCAAUUAUCCCUCUGGGAUGUGUCAGUGACCUAUCUGCCAGCUGAAGUGUCACAGUAGUCGCUUUAGCUUUUCCCAAGUCGAGUUUCCUAAAAAUAGAUAAAGGCAUUAAAUUAAUACUUGCAUCGAGGUUACAUAAUGCUUUAUCAAAAUAAACUUCACCAAUAGUGCAAGGAACAGUAAAACUCCCUGGCUCUUUCAGUUUUGGUGGGAACUUUUUCUAGAUUCUGGCACUGCAUUCCUCCGUAAGCAUUACUGUCUCAUGGUCCUCCAGCUUGUCUUUGUUUGAUAUAAUAUUUUUGAGAAACUUCGCAUAGCUAGGCAUCUGGAAUAGUGCAUCGGCUAGUGAGAUGUUGAUAUGGAGCUUUUUAAAGACUUCUAGGAAUUUUUUGUACUGUUACUCCAAUUUUUGCUUCUUCAAUCGCUGUGGAAAGGGAAUCGAAGGGUCGUAUGGGUUGACUGUGACUUUGACCUUAUCUUGUGACUUUUCUGAAUUUUCCUUUGGAGUUGAUUCCUUUACAACAGUCUCUACUUCAGCAGAUGUCUCUCCAAUCACACCCGGUCUCUUGACAUGAAUUUUAGGCAAUUGUACUCCACUCGAGUUGUAAUGGCCUUGGCUUGCUCUUUGGGAUUGAUUUCUGUGUUACUCGGCAAGUUACCUGGCGUUCUGCCAGUCAAUGCGAUGGCCAACUGCCCCAUCUGAGUUUCUAAAUUUUUGAUGGCUGCAUUUUGAUUUUGAAGUGUAGCUUCGGCUUUUUCCAUGAAUUUUCCUAUCAUAUCUUCCAAUUGAGGCCUCUUCUCUUGUUGUUGAAAUUGUCCCUGUGGCCUAUUUUGAUUCUGGUUGCUCCAAGAGAAGUUGGGAUGCUUCUUCCAACUGGGGUUGAAGGUUUCUCCAUAUUGAUUGUGUUGUUGACGUUGUCCCCACUGUGCAUAGUUGCUUGCUCAAUUCCUUGCAUGAGUAUUGGGCAUUCCGAUGUUUUAUGCUCAACUCCACACUCCUCAUAAUUGCUCUUCUUAGCUUGUGCUAUUUGUGAUAUGCUUUCCACCUUGUGAUACUGAGAGUCGAUUUUUGCAGAUAUUGCUCAAUAAGUAUCCACCUCGUAGACACCCGGAGUUUUCCUUGGAAUCGCCCUCUUAGAAGACCAUAUGGCUGAUGUGGUAGCCAUUCUCUUAAAUAAUUACAAUGCCCCCAUCAACUGUUCGUGUGGAUAUUGAGUCAUCUGACGCUGAAUCCACCAGGCUCUUUUGGUAUGGAAGUAAACUUGUGUAGAAGAAUCGGAUUUGGGUCUUUUUAUCAAACCCAUGUUGAGUGCACUUCCGGAGCAUGUUUUUGAAUUCGUUCCAAGCUUCGUCAAAUAAUUCGAUUUCUCUUUGACUGAAUACUGAUAUGUCAUGUCUCAGCUUCGCUAUCUUGGCUGGGGAGAAAAACUUUGUGCAGAAUUUGUGUGCCAACACGUUCUAUGUAGUGAUACUUACAACCGGAAGUAAAUCCAACCAUUCAAGUGCUCUGUCUCGUAGCAUAUGCGGAAAUAGCCUUAGCCUAAUAGUGUCAUUCGAAAUUCCUUGGUAUCUGAAAUGUUGACACAUAUCCAAAAAUCGAGAUAUGUGUGUAUGUGAAUUCUCCUCGGCUUUGCCAUAAAAUUGGUGUCCAUUUUGAAAUAGAUUUAUCACAUUGGUCUUCAAUUGGAAAUUUGGUUGCCCAAAUGGUGGAUACACUAUGCUGGAUUGACUUUGAAUUACUUGAGGAGUCAAGAAAUCUCCUAGAAUCUCAUUUCCUUCGUCCAUUGUCUCUCCAUCAUUAGCUUGAAUAAUGGGAUUGUUUAGUUCGUUAGCCAUUUGUAUUUGUGCUUCUCGAAAAUCUCUUUGUAAUCGAUGAAAGGUGCGCUCGAUUUCAGGAUCAGCUGGAAUCAAUUCUCCUCCAAUCGAUCGUGGCAUGCAAAUCUGAGAAACAAAACCAGUACGAGCACUGAGAUUCAAACAAUUUAAAUAAUUAAAACACAAAUAAAGGAUAAUAAUCUAAAAUAAAAAUAAAAACAAAAUUAUACUAGCAAAAUAAAAAUUGACGUUCGAAUUAGUGCCUCGAGAAAUAAAAUUAAACAAAACUCAAUCCCCGGCAACGGCGCCAGAAACUUGUUCACGAAAUUGUUUCUUUCGAUUUAAAACUAUCGCAAGUGUACGGUUCGUUAACAAGUAAUAAAAUGCAUUAAAUGAGUCCGAAUAUCAUCCCACAGAGAUUGAUUAGUUCAAUUUUACCUAUCGUUACCUUAAUCGAAACUAAAUUACUAAAGUGAAUGUGAAUCUAAUUAAAACCCUAAUUUCGAAAAGAAAAUCCUAGUUAUGCAAUUUUUAUGAUUGAAUUAAAUUAAAUAUGCAAAAUAAUAUUUUUAACACUCUAAAAUGAAAUCAAAUGUUGACAACGCACGUUUGUUGUAAUAAAUAGAAAUUAAACACACUUGGAUCACAAUUUCCAAUACAAUUAUCACUUUAAAACCCUAGUUUCACAAUGUGACAACACACUUCAAUUGUGACAAAUCAAUGUUCCUAAGUCUAUCCAAUACUCUCUCUUGAGAUGUAUCGAACCUAUUUCUACAAACUAUUGGCCUAUAUUUCUAUGACAAGUGCAUAUGUAAAAUGCAUGCGAUUUUAUGAACACUUAAAGAUUCACGUAUGAUAUAGCGGUAUAUUUCUAUCUCUUAUUGGGUCCUACGAUGAUUUAUAUUAUGUCAAACCUAUUCCAAUUCUCUCGAAUGCAAGAAUAAAUCACCCAAACUCACAUAAUUACGGGCCCUUAAUUGCGGAAACAAUAAUUGCAUAUAAAUCAUUUAAAACAAUAGAAAUAUGUCUUAAUGUCAAAUUGCAAAACUCGAAAAUUAUGGUACAUCGAUCUCCCGGCACAUGAAAAUCUAGCCUAACAUGGUUAAAAUAAAAGAAUACAUCAGAUAAAAGGCAUCAUUGGGUUAUAAAAUCUUGAGAAAUCUUCAAGCUCUGUGUGUAAAUCUUCGUUCUUACACUCAAAAUCCUCUCCAAGAAGUGUUUUUCCGCCUCUUUCUGAACGUCUUUGGUAUUUAUAUCGUGUGAAAAUUAGGUUACAAAAAGAGUUUCAAUCGUAUAAGGAAACUGCAGAAUUGACCCCGAAUCUUUGUUCUAUGCGACCGCAUAGUACAUUUCUAUGCGGUCGCAUAGAGUAAAAAAAUUUGAGAAAAAAUUCUCGGGAGGCCUCUUUGCGACUGCAUAGUGAAUGUCUAUUUUGGUCCUUGAACUUUCAUUUUUCUUCAUUUUAGUCCCUUUGCAAUUCCUUCUUCUUCCAAUCAUCUUGUAUCGCUUUCAAGUUCAUACUUAGCAUAUUUGCAUUCUCAGGUUGCCUUUUAGUUCAACUUUUGAAUAUUUGCAUCCUUAGUCCCUGAACUAUCAAUUUCCUCCAUUUUAGUCCUUUUUCAGCUCUUUUCUCCUGAAUUCUACCAUUUCCAUAUAAACACCUACAUUGCAUGAAUUCAACGAGAUUAAGUCACAAUUUAAAUAUUUUGCUCGUAAUUAAGUCAUAUUUGUGAUCUAAAUAAGUGUGCAAAAACACACUUAUCAGUGACCCACCUUGUUCGUUGUUGGGGGUGGUUCUCUAGGCUAGCUUAUAUCAUUAGCCUCAUGUCCCUUGUCGAUGUUAUUCGACGAGGGGUAGUAAUUUCCCUAUCCUGGCCCCUUUUUUUUGUCAUUCGCCUAAGUAAGUCGAGCAGUACAAUUUAAAGUUGGAGGCCUAUUUCACUGCACACUUGGCGUCCACCCAAUGGCCCCUAACUUGGAGGGAAUCUUCCGCUCUCAAAAAAAUUCGAAUUUUAUUGCUUAUAAAAAGGGGUGGUCCCUCACAUGUGAAUCAUUUUCUCCUCCUCCCAACAUCUUAGUCUUUCCUCUCUUCCAAGGUAACUUUCUCCUCUUUCUUCUUCAUUUUUUGUAAGAUCAUGUACACGACUAUCAUUUUUUCUUCUUCUUCCGACGAAAGUAGUGGUGGGGGCAGUCGACGUUGAAAAAAAUCUGACUGACUGGUCCGGUGAGGCUGGUUGGCCGAUCAGCAUCUGGUCGAUCGACCAGCCCGCGUCUCCCAUCCGCAAGGCUGGUCGGCUUCAGCCUCCCCACUUCGUCUAGUGGGUUCCCUUGUGAGUUUGAUAGCCGAACCCUUUCAGCUGAUUCGCAAGGGUUUAUUUCAAAUUUGCCCAAGAGACAUAUUGACUCUACCAAGUCUCCAAACCAAAACUUAGAAAUCGGAUGGAUCCGGCUGGCGAGAUCGUCCUUCUUGAAAUUUCAAAAAGUUUCAGUCUCUAUAAUUCAUUACUUAAGUUGGAAAAAUGUCUCGCUAGGUAUGAUAGGGUCAAUAAUUAUGUCUAUAGAGCCCCAGGUCCCAAAGAAAGACUUCCCGAAUUCGAUCCGCGUAAGGUAGUCAUGUAUAAGGACAUUAUGGUUGGAGGUUUCGAUUUUCCAUUCACCCCUUCUUGGUGUCAAUUUUCAAUGAAUUCUACCUUACCCCUAGUUAAAUUAACCCCAAUGCAUGGAGAAAGGCAUUGUAUUUCUUGUAUGUUUGCCUUAAGUAGAGAAUUCCAAUUUCUAUAGACCUUUUUAGAUGGGUCUUCGAGAUGCAUGAACUGGCUCAGUGCAAUGCGUUUAUCUUUUUCACUACUAGGAUCCCUUUGCUCUUUCCCAAGUUUAGGAAUUCGAACAGCGGGGGAAAAUCUCGGUUCUUCUUUGUCCAGCCUCCCGAAGGUUGAUUUUCCUUCAAUACCAACUGGCGAUAUCCCUAAAUUUGCCUUUUCAAUAGCAAAGUAAAAUUACUCCUCUUCUAAAAACUCAAAUCCAGGAGUUGGUCGAUGUACCCCCUUCGCACCUGACUUAGGAUUAGUUUUGACCAUGAAGAACAUGUUAAUAGUAGGGAUGAGUCGUCCUACUGGUAGGUGGUUUUGUUGACUUUUGCGAUUUUUUACUUGCACAUAUUUUUUCUUGUUGCUUUUCUAGGAUACUAUGUUUUGGCUUAUGUAUGUAGAUAUGGAUUUUGGAUGAGGUAUUGAAGACCCUAUCGGGUGGCGACGAGGACCUUGCUCAUAUUGAUGAUGAGCUCUCAAGGUCCUCUUUCUUGCUUCAUACUUCCAUGUUUCUUUUUGUAAACUUAAUGGACCUUACUUUUCAUGCACAAGGAUGGAGUUUGAUUUAGAGGGAACCAUGGAUUCUAUGCUGGAGCAGGGGCGUAUGAGCGAUGUUGAUCCGUCUCCCAUCCCUUUAAAAAGGAAGAAGACAACCAUCCAGGGAGGAAGGUCUCAGAUGGCACAAGAGACCCCCAGCCUUCGGAUGAGCCUAUCGAGGUUGUCCCAGCUCCUAGGCUACACACUUCUAGUCGUAUGCAGUGCGAGCGCGAAGAUUCACUUUCGAAUUUCGAGUUUCCUCCUACCCAGGGCUAUCAUGAGAUGGGGGUGCUUAAGUCUUUGGAGACAGCUGCUCGGGCCAGGGCGAUUGCAGGAUGUAGCGCAUAUGACAUUAAGAGGGCUACGGUGGUUUAUCUUCAGAGGGUACGUUUAUAAAUCCAUAUCUCUUUUACGCUGAGUUUUAUUCUUUGAGCAUGGUUUUACUACUUGACUCUCACAUUGUCUCCUCUUUCUUAGGUGGUGGCCCUUCAAACCAGGCUUACUGGAUCGAGUCCUCACCUGGCAUUAGAGUUGAAGACUCUUGCAGUAGAAAAGAAGAAAGAGGCUCAUCAUUACAAGAAGAAGAUAUCUUUCUUAAAGAAAUCUCUAGAGACGUCGGAGGCUCGAGCCCGUGAGUAGGAGACAGAGAAUGACAAUCUGCGGUCCGUGUUGGCUCGUGCUCUGGAGGAGGCGGUCAAGAGGUAUAAGGCCUCUGCUGAGUAUACUAGGGACCUAGAGGCAUCUGUGGAGUAGUACAAGUCAUCGUCUCAUUAUGCCAGGGCCUUGCAUUCGUAUGGGGAAAAGGUGAUGGAUGAAUCCAUCAAACUAACCAAGGAGUAGAUAUCGAUCAAGCACCCUUCUAUUGACCCCUCAGGUUUUGAUAAGUUCCUUGCGCAGCGCAAGGAGAAGGAGAGUGGGCGCAGCCAUCUCGAUCACUUGGUCAUUCGUCACGGGGCGGCAAUGGUAAUGCUUCCCCUUUGAGUUGAAGCAUGGCUUAGUAGUAGCAUCUUUUGUUAGUUUCCCUCUUUUUUGUGUCGCCUUUUUUUUCUACUUGUAGUAUCAUUCCCUACUUGUCCGGGGUGUGGGCAAGAGCACAUCACAUGCUUGUUAUUAAUGUUAUCAGCGGUUAUUAAUGUUGAACACAUCGUUCUUUUAACUUGUUUUUUUUAGUGUUGUCUUCCACGUUCAAUUGUUUGAUAGCAUGGGUAAAUGUCAUUCGUCCUGCGCGCACUAGGCUUCAUUAUAAUGGUCGACGACCUUAGCCAACAUUCUGACCAUUUAAGGCUUUCCGCCUAGUUACGUGGACUUGUUGGCCGUUGUGAGAGGAGUCUAGUGGUUAAGGACCUUAGCCAAUUUUUUGGCUUUUCAAGGCUCUCCGCCUAGCCGCGUAGGCUAUGUCGACCAUCAAGAGAUGGUAUGGCGGUUAAGGGCCUUAGCCAAUUUUUUGACUUUUCAAGGCUCUCCACCUAGUCGCAUGGCUAUGUCGACCGUCAGGAGGUGGUCUGACAGUUAAGGGUUUUAGCCAAUUUUUUGGCUUUUCAAGACUCUCCACCUAGCUGUCUGGGCAAUGUUGAUCGUACGUCUUCACGGGAUGAGCAUGGAGAUUCAAGAUUGCAUGUUAGCAUAAAAAAUAUUUGGAUUCGUGAGCUCAAUAGGCGCACCGGGACGUCCCAGCUAGGCUGGCCCUUCCUUAGCGCCCUCAUCAUCCGUCACUACCAAGGUCUUUCAUUAAACACGAUAAAUAAUUGUAACCAAAGGCGCCUUUGUGAGGCGUUGCAUGGAGGGAAUUAAGAAUGCAACCUAUUCUACAUUAUUUACAAGAACAUAGCCUGUGCAUCUAUCCUGAAGUCUACUGGUAAAAUCUUUUGAGAUGCUCUACGUUCCAUGGUCUACCCAGUGGUCUUCCUCUCAUGUCUUUUAGGCUAUAAGCUCCCUUCUCCAGGAUGCGGACUACUUCAUACAGGCCUUCCCAGUUUGGUCAGAUUUUUGUCGAGGAGCGUCCUGCUGCUGCUGCUGCAUCCCUUAAAACGAGGUCUCUUGGCUAAAAGAUUCUUAGUUUCACCCUUUGAUUGAAGUACCCAUCAGCUCUUCAUUUAUAGACCAUCAUCUUGAUCGUCGCAUUUUCACCUCCUCAUGCAGGUCGAGUUCCUCUCUAGUCGUAGUGUCAUUCGGCCGCUUGACUUUCAUCCUACCAAUCUCGCUUAAGAUCUCAACUGGGACUAGUGUUUCCAUCCCAAAGGUUAGUCUGAAUGGCGUUUCUUCGAUCAUUUCUUGUGGAGUCCUGUGAUAUGCCCAUAGCACAUUAAGCAGCUCAUCUGCCCACAACCCUUUCUCAUUCUCCAAUCUGGUCUUUAGAUCCCAGAGAAUGACUCGAUUUAUCACUUUGGCUUGCCCGUUCGAUUGAGGGUGGGCGACCGAGGUUAGUCUAUGAUCGAUGUGAUAACUUGCACCAAAGGUCUUGAAACUAUGAUUAUCAAACUACCUGCCAUUAUCCAUCACCAAUACUUUGGAUACUCCGAACCGACAUAUUAUAUUUUUCCAUACAAAGCCUUGUAUCUUUCAUGUCGUGAUGGUCGAUAGUGGCUUCGCCUCCACCCAUUUGGUGAAGUAGUCAAUGGCGACCAACAAAAACUUCCUCUGCCAUUUGGCCAUGAGCAGAGGUCCUAGAAUGUCCAUUCCCCACUGAAAAAAUGGGCACACCUCAAAUAUGGCUACCUGCUAUUCGGCUGGGACAUGGAUCAUAUUUCCAUGACGCUGGCAUGUGUCACAUUUUCGAACCAACUCUUUGGCAUCAUCUUUCAUAGUUGGCCAAUAGCAGCCCUGUCGUAGAAUUUUGAAGGCAAGGGAUGUUGUCCCUUGGUGGUUACCGCAGGUCCCAGCAUGUACCUCAAACAGUACCUCUUUGGCUUCGGUGGGGCGUAUGAAUUUCAGAUAUGGCAUGGUAAAACCUCGCUUGUAGAGCUACACAUCGAUGAUGGUAAAUGAAGCUACUCGAGCUUUCAAUCUCCUCGCCUCUAGAGGGUCUUCCGGUACCUUAUCUUCUGCUAGAUAUUUGAUUAUCAGAUCCAUCCAACUUUUUUCGUGUUCGAUAUUCUUCAGCUCAACCCAGGCUGAAUGAUGGGUUGUUGUAGAACUUGAACACUCGCUGUCCGAGGUAAGUUUUUUGGGUUGGGCGAUGCGAGCUUUGCUAGUGCAUUUGCGCAUUCAUUAUCUCUUUCCGAGACCUUCGUCACCUUAAAGCUUGCGAACCCUCUUUGCAAAUCCCUUACUUUCAUUAGGUAUGCUGCCAUCCUCCCAUCCUUUUCUUCAUACUCUCCCAAUACCUGCCCUACUAUUAGCUAUGAGUCACUGCAUAUCUCCACUGAAGUCACUCCCAGCCUUGCUGCCAACCCAAGCCUGUGAUGACUGCCUCAUACUCGGCAUCAUUAUUAGUAGCAGGGAACUAGAAGCGCAACAAGUAUUCCAGUUCUUCAGAGUCUGGUCUGAUCAUUAUGAUUUUUGCUCAUGAUCCCUCUGCAUUCGAGGAACCAUCUACAAAGAUCUUCCAAUCUGCCUUCUGCCCUUCUGGGGGCUCUGUCAAAAUGGUGAGCUUGGCAAUAAAUUUUGCCAGGGCCUGUGCUUUGAUGGCCGUCAUGAGCCUAAAUUCAAUGUCAAACUCACUUAUUUUAAUCGUCCAUUUCUGUAGCCUCCCGGAGGUUUUCGGUCGAUAUAGGAUUUGCUUAAUGGGUUCGUAAGUCUUUACUUGUACCAUAUAGGAUUGAAAGUAAGGUCUAAGCUUCCUCGCUACAACAAUCAACACGAGCACCAGCUGUUUAGCCAGACUGUACCUUGUCUCUAUGCCUUUGAGGACCUAACUAAUGUAGUAGAUUAAUUUUUUGCCUUUAGGAGUUCUUUCACAAGAACUGCACUGACUGCCCGUGGCAACACCGAAAGGUAGAGACACAGUACGUCACUAGGGCAUGGGCUGGUCAGAAUAGGAGGCUGUUGUAGUGACUUCUUUAAGGAUUCUAGUGAUUCUUUGUACUCUUGAGUCCACUCGAAAUUGAUAGAGUCCCCUAUGGCUUUAAAGAAGUGGUAACACUUAUCUGCCGCCCAACUCAUAAAGCGAUUGAGAGCCGCAACGCGCCCUAAUAACGCUGAACCUCUUUCUUACUAGUGGGCCUCUUCAUUUCUAGUAUUGCCUGUAUCUUGUCAGGGUUUACCUCAAUUCCUCUUUGGGUGAUCAUGAAGCCUUGGAACUUCCCUCCGGCAGUACCGAAGACACACUUCUCCGGGUUGAACUUCAAGUUAUUGUGUCGGGCCACAUCAAAUACUUUCUGUAGACAAGCCACAUGAUCUAUAGCUUUGGCACUUUUUACUACCAUGUCGUCGACAUAGACUUCUAUGAAAUUUUCGAUCAGCUCCCAAAAGACUCUUUUCACCAUCAUUUGGUAGGUUGCUCCUGCAUUUUUGUGGCUGAACGGCAUGGCCGUGUAACAAUAUGUCCCACAAUCUGUGAUAAAUAAUAUCUUCUCCUGGUCGAGCUCAGCCAUAGAGAUUUGAUGGUACCCGAAAAAUGCAUCCAGGAAGCUAAGUCUUUCAUGACCUGACGUGACAUCGACUAGGUGGUCAAUCUAGGGGAGUGGAUAUCAGUCCUUUGGGUAUGCUUUGUUAAGCCCGAUGUAAUCUACACACAUGCGUUAUUUCCCGUUUGACUUUUUCACUAACACGAUGUUGGCCAACCACUCAGGGUACUGCACCUCCCAAAUAAAACCAGCUUACAGUAGCUUUUCCACCUCUGCCUUUGCCACUUACUACCUUUCAGGGGCGAGGUUCCUCUUUUUCUGUUAGACUGGUUUAGCUCCGGGGAGAACGCCAAGGCGAUGUUGAGCGAUGGCUAUGCUGAUCCCAGUAAUGUGGUUCGGGCUCCAUACAAAAACAUCUAGGUUAUUUGCCAGGCACCUUACCAACUUCAUUUUUCUUAAGAUUCUAAACCGGCGCCGAUGCUAAACUCUCGUCCUUCUGAUACGGAGAUCCUUUCAAUCAUGUCAAGUGGUUCGAUCCGCCCCUUCGGAGGUUCGACCUCCAACAUCAUAACCGAUGGUAUUCCCUUCACUGAUAUAUUGUCGACAUAGCAUUCCCUAGAUGCUUGCUGGUCUCCUCGUAAGCACCCAAUUUCCCUGAUGGUUGGGAAUUUCAUGACAUGGUGAUAGGUCGAGGGAAUGGCUCCAGCUGCAUUCAACAAUGGCCGACCGUAGAUCGCAUUAUAGGCCAUGAGAGUUUUUACAACUAAGAAACUUGCCACAAUUACCACAGCGGUUGGAUAUAUACCGAGCGUUACAGGGAGUUCCACGGUCCCUUCUGGAAUUACCGUGGCCCUUCCAAAGCCCUGUAGUGGGGUGGUUUCUAUUUUCAACUUGUUAGGGGAGAUCUUUAACCCCAAAAAACAUCCCAUGUAAGUAUAUUUGCAGCGCUUCCCCCAUCAACCAGCACUAUCUUGACGUCGAAAUCAGCUAUGUCGCCUACUAUCAUCGAGUCAUCGUCAUAGUGGUGUGCUACACCUACCAAAUCCUCCUCGUCAAAAGUAUUGUUCUGACUAAACCUCGCUUUCCUUUGGAUGGAACAGAUCCCAAGAGAUUGCGCGUAUCUUUUUCUUGUCAAGUUUGAAUCUCCACCUCCUGCUAUCCUUUCUGCAAUCACAUUUAUCACUCCCGCCCUCGACGAGAGGUAGUCCUCUACUUUUUUUUUACCCCGGUUGUCCUUCAUAUAUUUGCCCAAGAGCCCUCGUCUCAAGAGGCGCUCGAUCUCAUCCUUCAGCUACUGGCACUCUUUUGUAUCGUGCCCGUGAUCCUUGUGAAAAUGACAGUAUCUGCCUUAGUUUCUCUUACCGGGUGGCAUUGCCAUAGGCCUCGGCCAUUCAAGCUCCUUCAUAUCUCGUAUCUCCAUCAAUAGCUUCUUUCGUAGGGUGUUUAAAGGGGUGAACAUCCUGGGCUCCUCCGAUUUUUUCCUGACUUGUCGGUCUUGCUUUACCCGUCUACUCACUCCUCAGCUUAUUUUUGUUGGCAGAUCUCAGCUCGUCUCCUGCCUUUCGCUUGUGACUCUCCAUUUUCCAUCCCUCUCUGAGUUAUUUUGUGACCUUCUCCACUUUUUCGGCAUCAACAUACCUGUCUCCCUUUUUCAAUACGUCGUGCAUUGACUCUGGGGGGUUUCUUGAAAAGUGACAUCUUGAAGGCCCGAUUCCAAUUUUCGUUCAUCAACGCAGUCACCACUGUUGACAUUUGGAAAUCCUCUAUUCCAAGGGACGCUCGGCUGAAUCUGGCCAGAUACUCUUGUAGAGACUCGUCCUUCUCCUAGACCACCUGCAUCAGCCCGAUGGCCGUCUUCCUCUUUUUUUUACUACUGAGGAAGUAGGUCACAAAGUUCCUGUAAAGUUCAUCAAAUGUUCAGAUAGAUCGGGGGGUAAGUGUCGCCACCUAGUCUCUAGCUUCCAAACCAAUUUCUAGUUUCCAACUUAUUGGCAUGCCUAAGACCACGCAUUGCUACAUACCGAAAUUAUCGUACCAUGCCAAUUGUUCGGAAAAAUGCAUGUCAAAUAUUGCUAAUGGAAUAAUAAUAAGAAAGAAAAAUACGGAGUCCAAAAAUAUAAGAAAAAGGAGAACCCAAGAAUUUACGAGGUUUGGUAAAAUUUACUUGUGUUGUCAGGCACUACAAAGCCUGUCCUCUAACUUUAAAAGAGGAAUAUUACAAACUUUAGUGCAAUUGUGAAAUUACGUAAAACUAUAUGAUCUUCGAGAUAUCAUCUUCCUAAAUCGAUAUGAACUUAGAAAAGAAAACAAUAUUUAACAUUGAUUUUUAUUUUUUGAGAGCUCUACUACUCCUUUUCUUAGCUGUGACUAUGCAAAGAGUAAAUGGCUUGUUAUAAUUUACAGAGUUUCCAUAGGAGGCUCGGCUUUAUUCAACUUCAGACUAUCCCCUUUAAAAAAGUGUCUAAAUGCUGUGGGGUACGUCCAAGCUAAUAUUUUCCCACUUAAUCUUCACAAUGAUCGUAGCUAGUAGAGAAUGCCUUAGCAAGACUGAAUGUAGUUCAUAUAAUGAGAUUUGACAAAAUUUCAUAUUGGCUAUUCAAAUUACCACGACUCUCCCAAUUUUCUCAGGCCACGAAAAAAAAUUAAUAAGGUUAGAGAGAGAUGCUCUUAAAUUUUAGUGAAAGAAAGUCCCACUUGAGUGCCUUGAUUUCAUGAGUUUUUCUUUAUGUUGGGUUUGAUUUUUACUUCUUAGUGAAAAUCGAAUUUAACAUAUUUCAUUUCAGUUUGGUUUGCUCAUAUCCGAGUUUUUUGGUGGUAACAUUUUGGUCAUAAGUUAUAUUGUUCACGGUUCUUGUUCUUGGACAUUGUGCCGAUUUGGGUUCCUAGUUCCAGCUUUGGUCUACAACACUGAUUACUUUUGCUUUCUUUUCAUCCAGUUUGUCUUUCUCUUCGAUUUUCUUAGCUGGUUUGGUUUUCUUGGGUAGCAAACUGUUCUUUUCUCCUCGGUUCUGGUUUCUUUAUUGGCUACCGGGUCCUCCAGUUUCAGGCCAGUAUUCUGCUUGUGCUGGUUUUUUAUUCUGUUCUUCAGUUCGUUUCUUGGCUACCAUUUCUGCGGGGUGUUCUUGAUUCUUGGUUCUUCGUUGGAGUUUGUGUUUUCUUGUGUAUGUAUUGUGUAUUUAUUCCUGCUGGUCAGUUGAUUUUUGAAUUUCGUCUUUGGUUUCUGCAUUAGCCAGCGUGUUUUUUGGGGUUGGUGGCUGACUUCUGCAGUUUUGGUGUUACCUUAGUCGUGUCUUCUGACCUUUUUGACUUUUUGCAGUAUUUUGCUUCUUCUAUUCCUGGUUUUCUUUGACCUCUUACUGAUUAUUUGGUUCUGGGCCGGGUCAUUUAACUGACUUUAGACUAUCCUAUCUUCUCCUGGGCUUUUUUAUUUCACGACUGGGCCUUCUUGUUGGGACUAUUUGUGUUGGGUCUUUAUCAGUUCUCAGUUAAUUUUGGGUGGCUCUUAUUUUAUCUUCGUUCUCUGCUGCCUGUUUCCUUCCCAGCAGGCCAUGGUUUUUGCUUUUUCAUUGGUAAGAAAAAAUAUGUUGCAAGCCUUCACUCUGGGUUGACACCUCUUAAGCCCCAGACUGUCCAGCAAGGUGAUGGUUCCGGGGGUAUUGCUGCCCCUUCGAAGUCCAAUAUUGCGGAGAGUAAUAAGGUGAGUUUGCCUUCACAAAGUGUAUCAUUGACACUUGGAGAAAAUGAUAGGGAAUCUGAAAAUUCUGACUUUGAAUUGAAUUUGGUGGAUUUGAAGCAACAAAAUAAUGCUAAUGUUACUAGAAAUGAGGUUGUAAAAGAUACUAAAACUCCAUAGGUUGAUCUCUUUAAAGACGAUAGGAAAAUGGAGGAAAUUUUAAGUUGAAGCCUUUUGAAAAUCAUUUGGAGGAAGUUGUUUUGGGAGAAUUGGAUGAAGAUAAUAUCGAGAAUACUUGGGGGUAUGGUCUCUUGGAUACUUUGCUAGUUGGUUUUUGGGAAAAGUGGCUUUACUCCAAUUGUGUGAUUCUUGGAAGGUCGAGUAUAAAUUAUUUUGUGCACUCAAGCGGGUGGUUGGUUUUCAAAUUUGAGACGGAUGUGGAUAGACUAAGUGUGUUGCAUGGUGGUCCGUACUUGGUUUAUGGAAGACCAUUAAUGUUAAAAGUCAUGCCCCGUUAUUUUGAUUUUGAUGACAAAAAUGUUAGCACUAUGUCGGUUUGGGUCAACUUGCCGGGAUUGCCUUUAGAGUUUUGGAAUACGAAUGCUUUGGGUAAAAUUGUCUCCAAAGUUGGCAAACCCAUUUCGAUCGAUAAGGUCACGAAAAGUAGAGUAGACUUUCCUAUGCAAGAGCACUAGUUGAAGUUGAUGCUUCUAUCGUGCUUGUAUGGGUGGUAAAGAUUAGACUUCCAAAUGGCAUCUUGAGAGAGCAAGAAAUUAUUUUUGAGCACGAACCUAAAUUUUGUGGUUCUUGCAAAAUCUUUGGGCAUUCAUCUAUUGGUUGCAAUUUUAAGAAAAAAUCUAUGGGUGACAAUAGCAAGCCCAUAAGUAGGGAGACAUCUAAACCCACUUCACAGGCUGCUCGGGUGAAAAUUGGUCAAGCUGGGAAUUAAAAAAAGGCAGCAACAAAUCAACAGGAAAAGGAUUUCGAUGGGCAGGAUAGGCAGCCUCUAAACUAAAUUUGAACUCAGGCUCAACCUGGGGCUAUUGACGGGUAGAUUAGCCAGGCUGAGGACCAGUCGGACGCCCCCUUUGUUGAGUUAAUUCACAGAAGAAAUGGGGCUACCCGUAAAAGGAAUUCAAUUUCUAUUGAAUCCACCCAACAGCCGACUAGCACAUGCUUUCAUACGGACUAUGUGGUGGCAGAUCCUAUGUUCAAAAUCACAGGGACAACUUCAAAAAAUAUAAGCAAUGAAAAGCUUAAAGGUAAAGUUGAUGAGGUAAGGAAUGUGGUGAAAACCCCAAAAAGAAGAAAGGUACCUCCCUUGCGUCAACAUCAUGAAGAUCGGCGCAUGGAAUAUUAGGGGCUUUAACCUACCCCUAAAACAAAAUGGGGUUAAAGGUUUCAUGAAACAACAUGAGAUUGAUGUUAUGGGUAUUUUGGAAACAAAAUUGAAAGAUUCAAAACUUUGUGGAAUUAUGAGGAAUAAAUUUGGUGGUUUCAACUUUGCAAACAACUUUCAACAUCAUAAACUAGGCCGUAUUUUGGUUUUGUGGAGUUCUAUGAAGGCUGAAUUGGAAGUUUUGGAGACUACCGCACAAGUCCUCCAUUGCUCAAUCAUGUGCAAAGUAACUUCACGUUCCUUCGUUGUUAGUUUUGUCUAUGCAUUCCAUACUAUUGUGACUCGCAAGCCUUUGUGGAAUAACAUUGAGGAAUUCGGUCUUAAUUGCUCCUUACCAUGGUUGGUCUUAGGGGAUUUCAAUAAUGUGCUAAAUUUUGAUGAGAAUAGUAAUGGUGCCGAUGUCACGCCGUAUGAGAUUAAGAUUUGGAUAUAUAUUGCCAUAUUGUUGGACUUUUGGAUUUGCAGUCGAUUGGAUGCUUCUAUACUUGGAACAAUAAUUCCGUUUGGAGCAAACUUGAUAGAGCCAUGAUAAAUGAAACUUGGAUGCUUGAGAGUUAUGACAGUUUUGCAAACUUUCUUCCAUUGGGGUGCCUCUCCAAUCACUCACCUUGUAUUGUUUCAAUUUUCGGGGAAGUUGAUAGGAAGAAAAGGCCCUUCAAAUCUUUCAACAUGUGGACAUGCCAUGAGGAUUUUCAUGAAGUGGUAUCAAAUGGUUGGAAUAAAGUCUUUUUGGGAUCUAAACAAUUCUCUCUUUGUAAGAAAUUACAAAGUCUUAAAGGGAUGCUUAAGAAGCUCAACAACAAGCAUUUUGCUCACAUUUCCUCUCCAGCCGACCUUGCUUCAAAAAAGUUGGAAUUGUCACAAGUUGAAUUGCAUAAUGAUCAACAAAAUCUUCAAUUAAAGUGUGAAGUUUUUAGAUUGAGAAAGGAGGCUACCACGCUAUGUGAAGCGGAAAGGAGUUUCUAUUAUCAAAAAGCAAAGUGCAUGCAUUUGAAGAAUAGUGAUAAAUGCACCAAGUAUUUCCACUCUUUGGUCAAGAGAAAUGCUAAAAGGAACUUCAUUCCAGCUAUUAUCAAGAGGGAUGGUAAUUACUCUACCUCCCAAGAAGAGGUGGCAACGGAAUUCACUCAUUUUUAUAGUGAAUUGUUGGGAAAAAAACUGUUGGACGACAAUUUAAUGAUGAAAUUCUAAGAGGUGGAUCUAUGUUGUCGGAGGAAAAUGCUAUGUUACUCGUCAGGGACAUCACGAGACAAGAGAUCAAAGAUGCUCUUUUUAGUAUUAGGGACGACAAAUCACCGGGUUCGGAUGAAUUCACAUCUUGUUUUUUCAAAAAAUCAUGGGAUAUUGUUGGCAAUGAUUUCAUGGAGGCAAUUGAAGAAUUUUUUGCAUCGAGGUCUCUACUCAAGCAAAUCAAUCACACCAUCAUUGCUUUAGUACCAAAGGGUAAUCACUCUACAUCGGUUGGGGACUAUAGGCCCACUGAUUGUUGUAAUGUCUUUUAUAAAGUCAUUACAAAGAUCAUUGCUUCUCGUUUAAAGCCUAUGCUUGUUGACCAAGCACAAACCGCUGUUGUGGAAGGACGGAGCAUGAUUGAAAAUAUUCACUUGGCACAAGAGCUUUUGAGGCAAUACAAUCGCAAGAGGUGGCUCCUAGAUGUCUUCUUAAAAUUGACCUAAGGAAGGCCUAUGACUCGGUGAAUUGGGAUUUUCUUGCUAAAGUCCUUGAAGAAUUGGGUUUCCCCAACAUGUUUGUUGAUUGGAUUAUGGAGUAUGUGACAAUCCAUCUUAUUCCAAUGCUCUUAAUGGAGUCUUUCAUGGUUUUCUCAAAGGAAAUAAAGGUCUACACCAAGGUGACCCGUUAUCUCCUUACUUGUUUAUCUUAUGCCUUGAAUAUUUCUUUAGAAUGGUAAAGGAGGGUACAAAGGAUAGCGAUUUCAAUUUUCAUCCUAAAUGUGCACACUUUAAGAUUACACACUUAGCUUUUGCGGAUGAUUUGAUGCUUUUUGCUAGAGGGGAUGUAAUGUCGGUGGAUAUCUUAAUGAAAUGUCUUUCAAAUUUUGGUGCCAUGUCGGGUCUCAAUAUAAAUGUUGGGAAAUCUUGUAUUUACACCGUGGGGAUGCAUGGUCAAGACUUGGAGGAUAUCCUUGCUCUUUCUCAUCUCCCAAUUGGUACCAUGCCAUUUCGUUACUUGGGCAUCCCUCUUGCGGUGAAAAAAUUGAAAGUUAGUUCAUACGAUUCUUUCACCAAUAAAAUUUCUUCCUAUAUUGGUACAUGGUCGACUUCUUCAUUAUCAUAUGCGGGUAGAGCGGAAUUUGUGCCAAUCAUUCUACAAGGAGUGGAAUGUUUUUGGUUAUCAAUUUUUCCCAUUCUGGCAACGAUAAUUUCUAAGAUCAUCAGUCUUUGUCGAAGGUUCUUAUGGGGGUCUAAAAAAUCAUUGGUAGCUUGGAAUCAAAUUUGCCUUCCAAAGCAUGAGGGCGGGCUCGGUUUUAGAGAUAUGAAAAGUUGGAAUGCUGCUCUCCUUUCCAAAACACUUUAGAACAUUCACAGCAAAAAGGAUACUCUAUGGAUUAAAUGGGUAAAUGAAGUACACCUUCGAGGUUUGGAUAUUUGGAAAUAUAGAGUGAAGAAAGAUGAUUCUCCACUUCUUAAAAAGCUGCUGGAAAUAAGAGACAGCAUUGUUGAAUCACAUAGCGACGAACAAGCUGGACUUAACAGAUUAUGUAGCUGGACAGAUUCUGGGAUUUUCAGCACCAAAGCUGCCUACGAUUUCUUAGGAUCGAAAGGAGUUAAAACCGGCUGGCCACCUCUGUUUGGGAAUGUUCUAUCACUCCUAAACAUUCAUUCAUCCUUUGGUUAGCUGUUCUGGGAAAAUUGGAAACUAAAGACAGGUUGACGCAUCUUGACUUGACUUGGACCGAAUCUGUCCAGGAGUCUUUUAUGAAAUUGCCCAACACCUCUUCUUUUCAUGCCCUUUUUGUAGAGAUGUUUGGGAUCAUAUCCGACAUUGGUUGGCUAUUCGACGUACCACGUCUACCUUGUUGAGUUCUUUAAAAUGGAUGAAAAAGGAAGCCCGUGGUAAGACUUGGCCAAGUAGAGCAAAACAUGUUGCACUUGCAACAACUGUGUACCACAUUUGGAUGGCAAGGUACAGAUGUAUUUUUGAAGGUAUUAAGCCACAUCUUGAAUCUAUUGUAAGACAAAUUAAAACACACGUAUACAAAGUUAUGUUCACCUCGUAUCCGUAUGUUUUGAUCCAAUUUGAAUCUUUUGUAGUCGAUUUUUAGACCGAUGUUGGUUCAUCUGUUUUUAUUUGAUACUCCCGGUAUGUCCGGUGUACAUAUAUUGGUUACUUACCUUCUGAUUUUUCGGGUAUGCCCGGUGUACUUGUAAAUUAAUUUUGAUCUAUGGAAUUUCACAUUUACCGAUUAAAAAAAAAAGUUCAAGUUAAUUGAAAAAUCUGAUCUAAUCCUCAUAAUACAAGUUUAUAUUUGUACUCCCCGAAGAGACAAGGACACAAUUCGAUUUUAUCGAUUAUAUUAAACCUCAUAAACUCUUUGUCGGCUGUCGUUCAAUCCAACUUCUUCUACCCCCUACAAUUUCAACAAGAAACCAAAUCUAUUCUUCUUAAGGUAGAAAAGCCAAUAGUUGAUUCAUUAAUUACAUGACUAAGCAAGCAAUGUUUGCCAUUGAUUAUGCAAAUGAACUUGGUUUUGCAUACUGCUGUCUUUAUUUUCUUUUGGCUACAACUUCCACUAUUGCUUGUUGACAAUAGUAACACCGCCACUGCGAAACCUGGCUACCAAAGCACGUGUGGGAAUCUAACUAUUCCAUACCCUUUUGGUAUUGGCGUAAAUGUUAGUUGUUCCCUCAAUCCGUCGUUCAAUAUCAACUGUGAUACAAUUUCAGACCCUCCCAAGGCCUUUCUUGGCACAACUGAUCUCGAGGUCACAGCUAUUUUUGACAACAAAAUAUGGGUCAAGAAUUCCUUAGCAUCAGUAUGCUAUGAUAAAGAUGGAAAUGCACCUACCGAUAACUUGGUGUCUAUCAGUUUAAUGAACACUUCUUUUAGCCUGUCGACUGAAAACCAGCUCAUAGUCAUUGGAUGUGAUUCUAUUCGUUGUUAGAAGAUAUGGAAGAUUAAAUAAGUGCUUGCGUCGAUAUAUGUUCAAAAAUCCAGGAUUUGAGUGAAGGAUUUUGCUCUGGAAUUGGCUGUUGCCAGGCCUCCAUAACAAAGGGUUUACAUUACUGAAAACCAGCUCACAGUCAUUGGAUGUGAUGACUAUUCGUUGCUAGAAGAUAUGGAAGAUUCCAUAAGUGCUUGCGUUGGUAUAUGUUCGAAAAUCCAGGGUUUGAGUGAAGGAGUUUGCUCUAGAAUUGGCUGUUGCCAGGCCUCCAUAACAAAGGGUUUACAGUAUUUCCAUAUUUCCCUGACAAGCUUGAAUGGUCAUCAUAAUGUCUGGUCAUUUAAUCCCUAUGGCUAUGCAGUUCUUGGACAGCUGGAUAGGAACACAUUUCGUAUAUCUCAUCUCAAUAACAUGUCGAUCUCAUUAGAUAACGUGCCCUUGGUGAUUGAAUGGGAAAUUGGGGACAAAAAUUGAACUGAAGCUCAGAAUUCGAUUGGCAUUAACUUAUGUUAUGGAGAAAGCAUUUGUGUUGAUUCUGGUACUGGAAUAGGGGGAUACAACUGCAAAUGCUCUACAGGAUCUGCGGGCAAUCCUUAUCUCAGUCCGGGCUACGUAGGUUAGUUAAUAAGGAUUUUUCCCUAUUCAAUAAAAAUAUGUACACCAUCAGUUUUUGGCCUGGCUAUUAUCGAGCUAAUUUGAUGAAACUUCCUCUGCUAGAUGUUGAUGAAUGCAAGGAUCAUCCACAUGAUGAAUUUGCAACCUGCGAUAACCUUCUAGGUAAUUACAGUUGUGAAUGUCGGAAAGGAUAUCUCGGUGAUGGCAGAAAAGAUGGUAUUGGUUGCUUUCUCAUGCAACCUUCAACAUACUCCUAUAGUUAAUGCAGGUAAUGAAUCUCUCAUGCAAUGAGUGAUGUAGAAUUUAGAAAGUAUCAUUUUUGACAUAGGUGGAAAAGACAGUGUAAACUUCUGGUGCAUGUUUAGGUUGUGGUUUAUAGCUAAUGAAUUCUUAAUAAAACUAUCUAAAUCUGCCUUUGCAACCAGAGAUCAUCUGAUACAUUGGCUAUGAUGGUACAAUUAACUAUCUUAAGAUCGAUGCUAUGGAUUUUUCAUACAGGUUUAUGCAUAGCCUUGGUAUUAUUGUUCCUAUUGGGGGUUACCUUCGUGUUGUACAAAGUACUGAAGAAGAGGAAAAGAAAUAAGCGCAAACAGAAAUUUUUCCAGCAAAAUGGAGGUCUUUUGUUACAACAACAGAUAUCAUCUAAUGAAGAUGUCCUUGAGAGAAUGAAACUUUUCCGGUCCAAGGAGUUGGAGAAGGCAACUGAUCGCUUCAAUGAAAGCGAAUGAUAGGUAAAGGAGGCCGAGGUACGGUCUAUAAAGGCAUGCUAUCAGAUGGAAGAAUAGUCACAGUGAAGAAAUCCCAAUCAGUCAAUGUAAAUCAACUAGAGGAAUUUAUAAACGAGGUUGUCAUACUUUCACAAAUAAAUCACAGAAAUAUUGUGAAGCUACUAGGAUGUUGUUUAGAGUCUGAAGUUCCAUUGCUAGUUUAUGAAUUCAUUUCCAAUGGAACCCUCUUUGACCUCAUACAUGACGAAAGUCCCAAUUUUCCAUUUUCAUGGGAUGUGCGCUUGAGAAUCGCUGCCGAAGUAGCAAAUGCCCUUGCCUAUUUGCACUAUGCAUCUUCCAUUCCCAUUUAUCACCGAGACAUCAAGUCGAAUAAUAUGCUUUUAGAUGAAAAAUAUAGCGCUAAAGUGUCUGAUUUUGGAAUUUCGAAGUCUAUUGCAUUAGAUCAAACGCACUUAACCACCAAGGUCAAAGGGACAUUUGGGUAUCUAGAUCCAGAGUAUUUUCAAUCAAACCAAUUCACAGAAAAGAGUGAUGUUUAUAGCUUUGGCGUCGUUAUGGUGGAGCUUUUGACAGGACAAAAGCCAAUAUCUUCAAGUCCAUCAGAAGAGGAACUAAGUUUAGUAACACUUUCUCUUUUAUCCAUGAAAGGAAAAUAGCUUAACACAAUUCUUGAUCCUCGAAUGCAAGAAAAUGGUGCGAAGAAAGAGAUCUUUAUAUAUAUAUAUAUAUAGCUUUUAAAAGUUUAUGGUGAAUUAUUUUAAAACAUCAGUAGAAAAGUAAUUCAAUUACAAAAUUGUCAUUUGAAAUGAGUUAUUUACGUUUAAAAUUUUCCAGUUUACUAUAAUUAAAAAGAAAAAAUCAUUCUUCGCCAUUUAGUCCACCACAACCUCCUUCAUACCAACCCCAUGAAACUACUUGUCAAAUUGAAAAUAAAUAAAAGUAGAAUAUGAAAUUGCUUGUCAUUCAUUUAAUCUAAUAAUAGAAAAAAUCUAUUAAAAAAAAGAACGAACUCCAAAAGCUAAAGAUCAACUCAUAUAUGUGAAAAAAUGAAAAAUUAUUAAACACAGCAUAAACACUAAAAUGUGGAUCAAAAAUAUAUUAAGAAUGCAUAUAAUAUUUAUAACGUGAUUAUGUUUAGUACUCCUCAAUAAUCUUUAUUUUUUAUGAUCAAUUAUUUUGAAAACAACGAGAAAUUUGAAUUGUUAUGAAAUAUUUAACUAGAAAUAUAUUUUUCUUAUCGGGUUGCAUUAAUAUGAAUUUGUAAAGUAUUUAUAAAAUUAAUUAAAUUUGAAUUUUGAUUACCCACUAUUUUUUUCAGCAAAUGAAAGAAGAAGCGCAUGUAAAAUGAUGUGAGAUAAUUUUAUGGUUUACUUCAAAGAUUUAGUGCAUCUUGGUACGAUGCACCUUCAAAAAGAGAUAUUCGGGAUAAUCUAAUUCACUAUUGAUUCUCAAGAUAAUAUAGAGAAUCAAAAUCAAAACGGUAGAUUCUUGAUCCUUGAUCCCAAAAUCAACCUGUUUAGUAGAGGAAUCGAAGCUGAGCCAAUCGGUUCUAUCAGACUUUGGUCUAACUCCAAUAGUUCCGAGAAAAAACCCGCCAUCUUCUCUCCUUCCUUCGAGUUAGUAACUCAAAAAACUAAAGGAAAAAACUCAAGUGCCUGAAUAAUAGGAAAAAUAAAGAAGAAAGAGAGCAAGGGGAGCCGUAGAAUAGUGAAAUCGAUAUACUAAAUUUUGACUAAAAAAUGAUAUUUGCACUAAAGUUUUAGGGGGAAAAAUAUAUACUAAAUUUUGAUAAAAAAUUGAUAUUUGCUCUAAAGUUUUAGAAAAAAAAAUGAGAUAUACAAUUUUAGAUGUCUCCCACCAAUUUCGUCCUUUCCAUGUAAUCUUCAAAAAUAAUAAAUAAAUAGUAAAAUAUUUCGAAUGUUGUAAAUGGAAAGUCCAUUAAAGUUUAUUGGUGAAUGACAUUUGUACCCCUGUAACCCUAGAAAUUAUUACUAUUGUAUCCCUGAUUCUUACCUAUAAAUAUAGGGUUUUGGUUUUCAAUAAUACACACAAAAGGUUUAUUGAGUUUUCUCUAUUCUCUUUUCCUCUCAUUUUAUAACACGUUAUCAGCACGAAUCUCUUAGAAGGUAGUAAUUUUUUUUCAUAAUCAUCUAUCACGUAUAUCAAAAUUAAUUUGAUAAUACGUGAAUUUUACAUAUACAUAUGUUGAAUCUACAAUACGUGAUCUCAUCUUUCUCGAUCAUUGUGUUUUCUUUGUACCUCUCUUUCAAUUAAUUAAUAUUUUUUUCCUUUACAUCAAUCCACGUGCAUUUUUAUGGAGAUAUAUUUAUGUUAAAUCAAUUGAUAUGCAUUAAUUCAUGUUCAUAUACCCUCCUUAUAUUUAGAUUAACCCUUUACGUCCUACACAUGCUUAUAAUUUUUUUUAAUUUUUUUUUUUGUUUAAUUGGUCAAUGUUUUUUGUAAGCAAGCUUCAAUUCCAUAUCUCUAUUUUGGCUGAUUCCAUAUAUAUAUAUAUAGGGCUUGUUUGAGCCACAUUAUUUCAAAAAAAUGCAUUCUUAAAUAGUGAUUUGACAUCAUUUCAACUACACAUUCUUCAAUAAAAAAAUAUUACACGCAAAUCAAAAACUUUUCCUUAUUUUUUAAUCACACAUUUCCCAUCAAUACACUAUUCAAGAAUGCAUUAUUACCAAAAUAAUGUGGGUCAAACACUCCCAUAAUAUACAAUUAACAAAUAACUGUACCCAAUUCAUCUUUUCUCUCAAAUCCAUUGGUUUCUGCAAAUUUCAUGCCUUAAUUGGUUAAUACUAAGUCAAUUCUUUUAAUUGCACAUAAUUAGAAUUUCGUGCCAUAAUAUGUGAAUAGGUUUCUACAUGUCACCAAUUUUUUUUUUUUGUGUUUCACUCGACUCACGUUAUUAAUUCAAAAUACUAUUUUACAUGUGUUUGUAUAUUAAUUAAUGGUGAGCAAUUGGAUGUAUUAUCAUUUUUUUUAUGUUUAGUUAUGAAACAUUACAUUAAAUUUAUUUUUAAUUGUUGUUACUCCUGAAGUAGCACAACAUUAUAAUUAAUAUUCCAGAAGAAUAUUAGUCAUAGAUCUAUUCGUUGUUGCUCCAGAAGUAGCACAACAUUAUAAGAAUAUUAUUUGCUCCUGAAGAGCAUAAAUUAUAACUCUCAAUAUUCCAGAAGAAUAUUGACAUAUUGCACUUGAAGAAAUAAUAGCAAAAUAUAAUGUGCUCCAGAAGUAGCAUAUGUUUCGAACAUAUUAUUUCAAAUUAGUGUUUAUCUCUAGAGGAAAACACGUAACUUAAAGUCAUGUUGAUAUUGACUAUUUGAUUAACAUGUGAUGAUUAAUCAUAUUCUUCGAAACUAAUUGUAUUUUAUUGUGUAGUUAAACAAAUGACAAACAUUACGAAACUUGAGUUUGCUGCACUUGACAUAUCUGGUAAAAAUUAUCUUUCAUGGAUACUGGAUGCUGAUAUCCAUCUCGUCUCAAAGGGUCUGGGAGAGACAAUAAAAGAAGGAAACAAUGAAUCCCUGCAGGAUCGUGCAAAAGCACUCAUUUUCCUCCGUCACCAUCUUCGCGAUGGAUUAAAAAUUGAAUAUCUCACUAAGAAAGAUCACAAGUUCUUUGGAAAAAGUUAACUGAAAGAUUUGAUCAUCAGAGGACUAUAGUCCUCCCCAAAGCCCGUUAUGAGUGGAUGUACCUUCGUUUGCAAGACUUCAAAAUGGUUAGUGAGUACAAUUCUGAAUUGUUCAGAAUAUGUUCAAAGUUGACUUUGUGUGGAGAAAAAAUCACUGAUAAAGAUAUGCUGAAAAAACUUUUUCCACCUUUCAUACCUCGAAUGUGCUCUGCAGCAGCAAUAUCGUGAGCGUGGCUUCAAAAAAUACUCAGAACUUAUAUCUUGCCUGCUAGUUGCUGAACAAAAUAACGAAUUGUUGAUGAAAAAUCAUGGAUUACAUCCAACUGGUUCUGUACCAUUGCCUGAAGCAAAUGGUACUACAUUGUCUGAAACAAAUACAAUAUCAAAACAAGGACGUGGACGCGGACGUGGACAUGGACACCGGCAUGGACGUGUACGUGGAAUAAAUCAUGGAAGAAAUAAUCAACAAAGUUAUCAACAACAAGGCAAUAAAUUCAAAAGGCACAAAACAAACGAGAGUGGCAAAUCUAAAAAGGAACAUGGAGAAAGUUGCUUCAGAUGUGGAAUGAAAGGGCAUUGGGCACGUACGUGCCGUACCUCAAAACAUCUUGUGGAUCUCUACCAGAGAUCAAUCAAGGGAAAAGAAAAAUUGGAGACUAAUUUUGCUGAUUAUGAUGGUCCAAUUGAUGUGACUCAUUUGGAUGUCUUCGAUUUCUUUACUGAUCCAAAUGGAAAUAUUUACCAUUUGGUUGGGGGUGGUGUGAUAGAAGAUAUAGAUUAAUUUACUAGUAUUUCUUUCGUUUUAAAAAUUCAGACUGAAAUAUGUUUUUACUUUACCACACAAAAAAAAAAAAAAACUCUAUUAUGCACCGUUUAUUUCAUGAUAUUAAGUAAUGUUUACUUCUUUAAAUCUAAAUUCAAGUUUUUUUUUUAAAUUUUGUUUAUUUUGUUAUAUUUAUAGAUUCGUGAUGGAUAGUCAAGACAGCUGCUUAAUUGAUAGUGCAACUACACAUACUAUUCUUCACGACAAAAAAUACUUUUUGGACUUAAUAUUAACUGAAAAUAAUGUUAACACGAUAUCGGGUGUGUCGAAUAUCGUUGAAGGCUCCGGAAGAGCUUGUAUUAUUUUACCAAAUAAUAUAAAAUUAUAUAUUAACGAUGCACUUUAUUCUAGCAAAUCCAGAAGAAAUUUGCUUAGUUGUAAAGAUAUUCGCUACAAUGAAUAUCACAUUGAGAGGAUGAAAGAAAAUAAUGUUAAAUAUCUUUGCAUCACUUUUUUUUGUAUCUGGCAAGAAGCAGAUAAAAAAAAAUUCCAUGCACUCCCGUCUGACAUGUAUUUUACAUUUAUAAAAAUGGUUGAAUCAAAUAAUGUUACGAGCCAGAAGUUCGUUGAUUCAAAAAGUUUUAUACUUUGGCAUGAUCGACUUGGAUAUCCAGGAGCCAUAAUGAUGCGUCGAAUAAUAAACAACUAACAGGACAUCCUUUAAAGAACCAGAAGAUUCUUUUAUCUAAUGAUUAUCCAUGUGUAGCUUGUUCGCAAGGCAAGUUAGUCUUAGACCUUCAACUACAAAGGUCAAUAUUGAAUCUCCAACUUUCUUGAAAAGAAUACAUGGAGAUAUAUGUGGGCCAAUACACCCACCAUGUGGACCAUUUCGUUACUUUAUGGUAUUAAUUGAUUAUUCUACAAGAUGGUCACAUGUUUGCCUACUUUCAACUAGGAAUGUAGCAUUUGCUAGACUACUUGCUCAAAUCAUAAAAUUGCGAGCACAAUUCCCCGAUUACUCAAUCAAGACUAUUCGUCUUGACAAUGUUGGUGAAUUUAGAUCACAAGAAUUUGAUGAUUAUUGUAUGUCAAUUUGGAAUGAAAUUGAACAUUCAGUUGCACAUGUUCAUACACAAAAUGGUUUAGCGGAAUCGUUUAUUAAACGUCUACAACUUAUUGCUAAACCAUUACUUAUGAAAAAAAAACUCCCAACUUCUGUUUGGGGUCAUGCCAUAUUACAUGCUGCAUCAUUGGUUCGUAUAAGAUCAAUUGCCUAUCAUCAAUAUUCACCUUUGCAACUUGCAUUUGGUCAUGAACCUGAUAUUUCUCACCUACGGGUUUUUGGUUGUGCUGUCCAAGUUCCUAUUUCACCCCCACAACGUACUAAAAUGGGUCCCCAACGAAAACUUGGGAUUUAUGUGGGUUUUGAUUCACCAUCUAUUAUUAGAUAUCUUGAACCUUUAACGGGUGACUUAUUUACUGCACGUUUUGUAGAUUGUCAUUUUGAUGAAAUGACUUUUCCAACUUUGAGAGGAGAAAAACUACAUCCUGAAAAACAAGAUAGAAUUUCUUGGAAUGAGACAACUCUAUCUCACUUUGAUCCCCACAGCAAUCAAUGUGAACAAAAGGUUGAAAAAAUCAUUGAUUUGCAAAGAGUUGUAAUUCAACUACCUGAUGUAUUUGUUGACACGAGAAAAGUGACAAAGUCAUAUAUUCCAACAGAAAAUAUUCCAGCAAAAAUUAAUGUCCCUGCAGGACAAUCUGCUGUGGCAAAUGAAUCUCAAAUACGCCAGAAGCAUGGUCGACCAGUUGGUUCAAAAGACUCUGUACCUCGAAAAAGAAGAGUACAGGAGAAAAACCAACCAAAAACUUCAGAAGAAAUCACAUUAGAAAAGAUUGAUCAAUCAAAUAUUGAAUGUACGGUUCCUGAAGAACCAGAGGUGUCCGAAAAUAAUGAGAUCUCAAUAAAUUAUAUGAUAUCUCAUAAAUUAUGGGAACGGAAUAAUAUUGUUAUAGAUAAUAUUUUCACCUUUAACAUGGCUCUUGAUAUUAUGCAAAAUGAGGAUCCUAAACCACAGUUUGUUAAUGACUGUCGAAAUAGAAAUGAUUGGCCAAAAUGGAAAGAAGUCAUACAGGCAGAAUUGAAUUCUUUGGAGAAACGAAAAGUGUUUGGACUAGUAGUUCGAACACCUGAAAAUGUAAUCCCUGUUGGAUACAAAUGGGUUUUUGUACGAAAGAGAAAUGAGAAUAAUGAAAUUACAAGAUACAAAGCCCGACUAGUGGCUCAAGGUUUCUCCCAAAGACCGGGAAUUGAUUAUGAGGAAACAUAUUCUCCCGUAAUGAAUACCAUCACUUUUAUGUUCUUAAUUAGUUUGACCAUGUCACAAGGGCUCGAUAUGUGCCUUAUGGAUGUAGUAACUGCCUUCCCAUACUGUUCACUUGACAGUGACAUAUGUAUGAAAGUCCCUGAAGGAUUUAAGGUGCCAGGAAUAAAUGAUACAUGUUCGAGAACUAUGUUCUCAAUUAAAUUGCAAAAAUCAUUAUAUGGAUUGAAACAAUCCAGACGCAUGUGGUAUAAUCGCCUUAGCGAAUAUUUGUUGAAAGAGGGUUAUAAAAAUGACGAUAUAUGCCCAUGUGUUUUCAUAAAGAAAAUAAUUAUUGGAUUUGCAAUUGUGACAGUUUGUGUUGAUGAUUUAAAUUUAAUUGGAACUUCUGAAGAGUUCAACAAAACUGCAGAUUAUUUGAUAAAUGAAUUUGAGAUGAAAGAUUUGGGGAAAACCAAAUUUUAUCUUGGAUUACAAAUUGAACAUUUUCUAGAGAGAUUAUUUGUUCAUCAAUCUACUUAUACAGAAAAGUCUUGAAACGCUUUUAUAUGGAUAAUGCACAUCCAUUGCAAUCACCUAUAGUUGUUCGAUCACUUGAUUUGAAAAAAGAUCCAUUUCGUCCACUUGAAGAUGGAGAAAAGAUUCUUGGUCCUGAAGUACCAUACCUUAGUGCAAUUGGAGCAUUAACUUAUCUUGCAAAUUGCACUCGACCUGACAUAGCUUUUUCUAUUAAUCUCCUUGCAAGAUAUAGCUCUACACUAACUCAAAGGCAUUGGAAUGGUGUUAAACAUAUUUUUCGUUACCUAAAAGGUACUAUUGAUAUGGGACUGUUUUAUUCUCAAAAGUCAGGAUCUGCUUUAGUUGGAUAUGCAGAUGCAGGUUAUCUCUCCGAUCCACAUAAAGCUAAAUCACAAACAGGAUAUGUGUUAACACGUGGAGGAACAGCUAUAUCAUGGAGAUUUGUGAAACAAUCCUUGACAGCAACAUCCUCAAAUCAUUCUGAGAUUAUUGCAAUCCAUGAAGCAGGACAAGAAUGUGUAUGGUUGAGAAAUAUGACCCAUCAUAUCCAAUCAUCAUGUGGAUUGACUUCAACAAAAGAUAAUCCAACAAUUUUGUUUGAAGAUAAUGCAGCUUGUAUCACACAACUCAAAGUAGGCUAUAUCAAAGGCGACAGGACGAAGCAUAUUUCUCCAAAAUUAUUUCAUACACAUGAACUUCAGAAGAAUGGUGACAUUGAUAUUCAACAAAUUCGCUCAAGUGACAAUCUUUCAUACACAUGAACUUCAGAAGAAUGGUGACAUUGAUAUUCAGCAAAUUCGCUCAAGUGACAAUGUGGCUGAUCUAUUCACAAAAGCGCUGCCAACAUCUACAUUCAAGAAAUUAGUUCAUGAGAUUGGAAUGCGUCGACUCAAAAAUUUUCAGUGAUUAACAUCAGGGGGAGUAGUUGUACUCUUUUUCCUUCGCUUAGGUUUUGUCCCAUUAGGUUUUCCUAGCGAGGUUUUAAUGAGGCAGCAUUUAAUUUUAAUACUCCAAAAUAACUGUACUCUUUUUCCUUCGUUUGAUUUUUUUUCCUCAUUGGGUUUUUAUCAAACAAGGUUUUAACGAGGCAGAUAUUUUGUAAUAUGUCAUUCAAGGGGAGUGUUGUAAAUGGAAAGUCCAUUAAAGUUUAUUGGUGAAUGACAUUUGUACUCCUGUAGCCCUAGAAAUUAUUAUCAUUGUAUUCCUGAUUCUUACCUAUAAAUAUAGAGCUUUGAUUUUCAAUAAUACACACAAAAGGUUUAUUGAGUUUUCUCGAUUCUCUUUUCCUCUCAUUUUAUAACAUCGAAUAUAACUUUGGAUUUAUUUCAAGAAACAAUUGCAUUUUUGAGUUAUGAGUAUAAGAAAACUACUAAAAAAAUUUUAGGAAAUUUUCUUUUCUAUUUCUCGCCAAAUUGUUUAGGAUAGAAAUAAGUGAAUCUAUUAAUUUUCAAUAGCCACAUAUAGGAUCCGAAAUUAAUGGCAAAAAUCAAUUAAUUGGGAGUGGCCUUUUAGCAAAAUCUAUGCAAUUAACAAUGGCUUACCUGUCUGAAUUAGUACAGUAUUAAUUUUAACCUUUUUCACACUUCGAGGAAAGAAAGCCAGCAGCCACGCCAGUUCAACUUACUAAUCGAGCCUGUCCACAUGACAAAGGGAACAGACAGAGUUGUUCACCUUAAAACUCAAAGAAAAAGGGAGUGAAUCUCUGAAAUGAUGAUCAAAUUUGUGGGAAAAUGGAGACCUUCCCAUGAAGCAAUUGGCUUGCAAUAUACUAGCCAUCUUUCUCUGCAUAGAAUGUAAGAAACAAGAGAAAACUGUUAAUUUCUUGAAACUGCCAACACUUAUAUAUUAAUACAUAAUGUUUGAAAAUUUGAUGUUUAUGGUAUCAUUUAUUACCUAAAAAAUAGCAUCUUUUCUUUGGCCUUAUUUGUAUGUUUAUAUGACGUGUGACACGAAUUGGUACCUGCACCAGUCUAAAAUGGUUGCCUUCAGCCCAUUGACUCUAAUGUUAUUAAAUUAAUACAAAAUAAACAAAUUAUUUUCAUCUUUCCCUUUAGUUUAAAGUGAUUAGUAAUGGAUGGUUAAGGAUCUAUUACAUCUAAUGAAUCGAAUAUAGUAUUGGAAAAAAAUCACUUCAUUCAAAACAACCUUUAUUGUUUGUUAGGAAAAUAUUAUUUGAAAUGAAAAAUGAUUCUUUUUUUUAGAAUGCGUGGUUAAAAAGUAGGAAAAAUUUAAGGAUCUGCGUGCAAAAUUAUUUUAUUGCUGGAAUGUAUAUUCAAAAUCUAUUUUAUUAAACAAAAUUCUCAUAAAAGUUGUACAAGUUGUUUAUUUUGUACUUAAUUUUAGAAAUUAAUGUGAUUACAGUAAGAUCCUAAUUACAACUUGAUUUUUAGACAUUUCUUAGAAUAUCCACGAUUUAAAAAAUUCAGUAUUCAUUGAUUCACAAUAGAAUACAACUAGAUCGACAGAUCAUUAAUUCUUGCAAAUACCAAUUUGAAUAAUUUAUCAGAUAAAAAAUCUAAAAACUUUUAUAUAAUCAUAUCAAUACCAAUUUAAAUGACCCACAGGUCCAAGACACUGUUUUGAAAGAAACUAAUUACUAAGCAUAAUUGAAAUUUCACUUUUAAUCCCAUAACAAUUAUGGUGUCAAUAUAUCCACCUUAAACCUUAACCUCUUUACCUACAAUAUGUAGAUAAUUUAUUUUCUCACUUUACUAAAAUUUCCACCUUUAUGUAAUUUGCAGAAAAAAAUUAACUAGUUACCAAAUAGUUGUUCCUUAAUAAGUGAAUGGAUAAACAACAACAAAUUAUCUAACUAUUCAAAAUAACCAUAUAAGAGUAUUUCCAAGAACUUUAUUUUUAUUAAUAAGCAUCUUGUAUCUAGUUGAGCAUAAUAGAGAGCAAUUUUAAAUUUCCACAGUCGAUUAACAAUUUCCAUAACACUUGUGUGAAAUUGUUUCAUUUGUCAAAUCCUUCAUUUUUGAAUUUGAAAAUCUCUACCAUAUAUCAUUUUCCUUUAAUCUUCUCCAUCAAAAAUAGGAAUAAAUUGAAGAGUUGACACCGACCGGACUUGCCAUUAUUUGAGCUUCUGGAUAAAAGUGUCUUAUUCAGGCUGUUACCAAAAUUAUCCAAAUGUAUAUUAAAAUAUUCUUCAAAUGAUGUUUGGAGGCAUAAAGUGAAAAUUGGCUUCCAAUAACUUCAGAAUUCAACCUUCUAGAUUUUGCUCUAAUCAGGUACUUCUCUCCAUUUAAUCUCCAAAAUAUGCAUUUCAUUUUCCUAAAGAAAUAUGUGUGCAUGGCCAUUUUCUGAUUGCAGCUGCGCAAUAAAAAGAUCCUCUAUCCACGACGUUCCAGAAGGCGCUAUUCUAAGCCACAAUGGAGCGUCUCUAUUCGUAGGGAAGCCAAUGGUGCAUCGUAUACUCAAGCUAAAUCUACCCUUUUACAGUUCCCAGAUAAUGCAUGGUUCUGGCAGAAAAAAGUGGUCAAACUAAUGGUAAAUCUUGAAAUGAUGCGCUGUAACAAUGAUGUUUUUUAUUGCUGUUGGGGAAAUUUACACCGAUUAUGUGUAUAUUAUAUUUUUGUACGUGCAUAUUAUAUUCACAAAAAUAUAAUAUGCACAUAAUCGGUGUAAAUUUUCCCAACAAUUGCCGGGUCUUCAAAAUCUUGUUGAAACUUACAACAUAAUGAAAUGCAAUUUAAGAAGAAAAAGAAAACAUCUUUAAUUCUUGUUAAGGAUCAAAUCCCACAUUGAAUAAAAAUGAAAAAAAAUAGACCAACUUAUAAGCUUUGGGCUACUCCUCUUAACAAGGUUGACCUAUUAAGAUGGAAUCACAAAUCUUAACACGGUAUCAAAGCCAUCAUCCAACUUAUAAAGCUUUGGACUACUCCUCUUAGGGCGUGUUUCGCAUAGCUUUUGUUUUUACUUUUGCUUCUUGUAGAAGAGUUUUUGGAGGAAGCUAUUUUAAUUUUUGUUUAAAAACUAAUAUUUAAAAGCAUUUUUUAUUCCAGAAGUGCUUUUAGAGGAAGUCACAUUGAACCGGCUUCGUCUAAAAGUUCUUUCAACCAUUAAAAGCACUUUAACAAAAUUAGCCAAACGGGUCCAAAAACAACUUUUGAACCUCAAAAGCUCCUUUUGACUUUUUAAAAGUCAUGUCAAACGAGCACUUAAUAAGGUUGACCUUCAAGAUAGAACCCCAAAUCUUAACAAUUCCUGAGUAUUAGGCCAUCUUCAACCCUGCACCAAAUUUUGCACUAAAUCUUGCACCAAACCAAAAUUCUUCUCCAACCAUUAUACCUAAAUUUACACCAAAUGAACAGUGCUUUAUUAUUUUAUUCAUUCUUUUGAUUUUUGACAAUAUAUUUAUUUAUUUAUUUUUUUAUAACUAUAUAUAUUACUAAAUCAUAACUUCAUUAAAUUAACAAAUAUAUUGAUUACUAUAUUAUCACAUGUCAUAUAUAUUAUGUUAAAUCGACAAAAAUAAUUGAUUAUAUUAUUAAUUUAUGAUAAACAAUUACGUUAAAUUUACAAAAAUAAUAAACUUUAAUAAUAUAAACUUUACAUUAAAUUAAAUUUUAAACGUAAACUUUACGAAUUUAACUGUACGUUAAAUUAACAAUUACGUCAAUUAUUAUUGAUUAUAUUAUUAAAAAUAAUAAACUUUAAUAAUAUAAUUAAUAGUGUAAUUAAUUAAGUAAUUAUUAUUAUUAUCAUCAUUAUCAUUAUCAUUAUCAUUAUUAUUAUAGAACGAAAAUGACACAAAUGCCCUUAACCCUUAUCCUUGAAAAAAGAAAAAUAAGGGCAAAAUGGACAUUGCACCAUUUGGUACAAAAUGGUGCAACAUGAAUAGUGUUGCACCAUAUUUGGUGCAACACUAUUCAUUACACCAUUUUUUGCACCAAAAUUUGGUGCAAUGGUGCAAUGGUUGGAGGAAGUUUGCACCAAAUUUUGGUGCAAUUUGGUGCAAUGGUGCAAUGGUUGGAGAUGGCCUUAGUAAUGGAAAAACUGAGAGAUUUUCGAGAAACGAGCUCGAGAAAGGGGGAAAAUCCAUGAUUUUCAACCUCAUCAGUCAUAAACAAACUGAAACCAGUCACAAUAUUAUCAAACUUAAGCCGUGGAUUUGGCAACAAAUUCCCAAAUCCAUUUAUUUUCCAUUAUCGUUUAUCUGAAAUCCCAAUUCAAAGAAGCUUUGAUUUAAUCUAGGAUCCUAGUAGUUUCUCUCAGAAAAUUUUUAUUCAGAGUCAUGGUAGGAAGAAAAUAAAAUUGCCCUACCUUAAAAUCGUGUUGCAAAUUGAAAUAGUAAAUAACCUCGUGUUUUGAAAACUAGGCAUUCAUAAAUCCCGGUUUUGUACAUCUUGCAAUCAAAAACGUCAUUCUAACUAUACAAAAUGACAUUUCCAAUUUUCUAUCCUCAGUGUUCAAUUUUAAUUAACAUAAGCUUCAGUGACGAAAGCAAAUAGACCACUCAAACUAAAACAAAAAACAAAACUUCAAUUUUCAACUUCAGAAAAAUAAUAAGUUGGAUGAGUUACCGCAUUUUCAACCACAGUGUAGUAGACUAAAGUGCUAAAAAAUAUUAAAUUAUUUAUUUAUAAUUUCCAUUUACGUAUAUCAAACACGCCUAAAUAUUAAAUACUCGUAUAUAUAUAUAUGAUAGAGAACACUAAGACGGAUAUGAAUAUUGAAUUGGUCGUUGACCUUUGAUUGGGCUAGAUGAACUCCACUUAGAUAUAAAGACUAUUUUUAACGUUGAUAAAUAAACAUUUCGUGGACCCUUAAAUAAGAAGAAAUCUGUUUCGCAAAAAAAAAAAAAAAAUUCUUAAAAAAAGUUAAUUUCUGCUACCUUAGAAAAAGCUAUGACCUGGAUCCAUUUGGUUGGCUUAUAGGGCAAUUGAAAUUCAAUUCCCAGAAGAUAGAAUUAUAUAUUGUCGGAUGUAAAAUAAUUUUAGGCAGCUAUGUUGAAUUCAAGAACUUAGGAUCAUUUAUUUAUCUUAAUUAAUCAAUAGUAUCGGAAUGCAUAUUAUACAUGCCGUCCUAAAAAAUAUGACUUAUUCAACUCAAUUAUUCCCUGUUAAAAAAUUUAACGUUGUUAUGACCUUAACAAAUGAAAAUUAUUUUUCUAAGUUUCAACGCGCAACUCCUUGUUCAUGAUAUAAUCUGACUUAUCUGGUGGAUGAAACUUAUGUACUAUUUAACCAGAGAGUUUUUGGCUUAUCUUCUUUAUCAGUUGAUCAAGCAUUCUUAAUAAUUGUGAAAAAUUUUAUUGUAUCAGCCUGCAAUAUGCAGCAAAAAGCUUGCAUUCUUCUAAUCUUAUGGCUUCCAUUUAGCUUUUCCAUAUCAAAACAGACCAUCAACAACAGCACAAUCGCGCUACCCGACUGCCCCACCAAGUGUGGGAAUGUUUCCGUUCCAUACCCAUUUGGUAUUGGUUUAGAUGCUGGAUGUUCCAUAGGCCCUUGGUAUGACAUCAACUGUUCUAAAUCUUUUAACCCUCCAAAACCCUUCCUCAGCAGAACUAAUGGAGAGAUUAUGGACAUAUCAGAAACCAAAAUCCGUGUCAAAAGCAAUGGGAUAGCUUACAGAUGCUACAAUCAGACUGGUGGUAUAACUCGUGAAUUUCCAACCGUAUAUGGUAUAGAUGACACCUCGCCUUUCAGUUUUUCAAACGAAAACAAGUUCAUAGUUGUGGGAUGUGAUGAUGUUUCCUAUAUGGCAAAAGUGGCAACUGAUAAUCAGUUCAUGUGCUGCCAUAUGUUCAAAGAGCAGUGACUUGAGUGAUGGAUCUUGUUCUGGAAUUGGCUGUUGCCAAAACUCCAUUCCCAAGGGCCUAAAGAAUUACAUUAAUUUCCUGAACAGCUAUGGAAAUCACACGAAGGUCUCGUCCUUCAACCGCUGUGGCUAUUCCUUUCUUGGAGAACAGGGUAGAUAUAGGUUUCACCCAUCUGAUGUCUCUGAUUCCAAUUUUGAACACAGAAUUGUAGAAACUGUUCCGAUGGUAUUUGACUGGGUGAUUGGGAAUCAAACAUGUGUUGAAGCUCAGAAAUCCAAUCUAUUUGCUUGUCAGGAAAAUAGCAUCUGUGUUGAUUCUGAUACUGGUCUUGGAGGAUAUCACUGCAACUGCUCCAAGGGAUACAAGGGAAAUCCAUAUCUCAGACCAGGUUGCCAAGGUUAGUUAAUGUCUGUUUGAACACUCUGAGCAUAUUUAGUACAUAUUAUUGGACAUUACUCCACGAUGGACAAAAAAUUUUACUUCUUUUUUUGGUUCGUAUUGUCAAUUAGUGUUAAAUCUAGCUUACCAAAGAAGCUGUCUAUAGACAAACAAAAAAUGAAUUAUCGAAGAGCAAUAAGAACAAUUUUAAUUUCCUUUGGCUCAGCCACUCAGCCAUGACUCUUUUCGUUCUACUACGUUUUCAGACAUCAAUGAAUGCGAGAACAAUCCGUGUCAUCCAUAUGGAAUCUGCACUAAUACUCCAGGUGGUUAUAAGUGCUCUUGCCAGCACGGUUAUUUUGGUGAUGGCAGCAAAUUUGGUUCUGGUUGCAUUGGCCAGCCAGCGUCGGACCCAAACCAUUAGUAUUGUGGGGUCAAAAAUUUAAAAAUAAUUUUUUUAAUAAACAACAUAAUAUCAAUAAAAAUAAGUUUAUAUGUAUUUUGACACUUUGAAAACGUCGUAUAAUUACAUCAUUAUUAAUAUUAUUAAAUAAAUUUUGCUACUUGUAUAGUUUGUUUAUCAUUUCAUUGGCAAAUGUUGAGCUAAUAUUGAAUAAAUUAAAUUGAAUAUAGAAAUUAAAUGAAUUGAAAUAAAAUUCAAAUUUAGUUCAGGAAGUAAAUAAAAUUCAAAUUUAAAGUAAAUAUAAUUCGAAAGUAAUUCAAAUUGCAUUUAAUCCGUAACGAUCCUAAAAAAUUUACAUCAUAAUUCAUGUAAGACUUCCGAAUGAAACAAUAUAAAUUAUAUUGAAAAAUUUAUCGUGUAAAAAUAAUAAUUAAUUGAAUAUUUUUAAAAGAAAAAACGAAUUAAACGUUUUUUGAGGCGNNNNNNNNNNNNNNNNNNNNNNNNNNNNNNNNNNNNNNNNNNNNNNNNNNNNNNNNNNNNNNNNNNNNNNNNNNNNNNNNNNNNNNNNNNNNNNNNNNNNNNNNNNNNNNNNNNNNNNNNNNNNNNNNNNNNNNNNNNNNNNNNNNNNNNNNNNNNNNNNNNNNNNNNNNNNNNNNNNNNNNNNNNNNNNNNNNNNNNNNNNNNNNNNNNNNNNNNNNNNNNNNNNNNNNNNNNNNNNNNNNNNNNNNNNNNNNNNNNNNNNNNNNNNNNNNNNNNNNNNNNNNNNNNNNNNNNNNNNNNNNNNNNNNNNNNNNNNNNNNNNNNNNNNNNNNNNNNNNNNNNNNNNNNNNNNNNNNNNNNNNNNNNNNNNNNNNNNNNNNNNNNNNNNNNNNNNNNNNNNNNNNNNNNNNNNNNNNNNNNNNNNNNNNNNNNNNNNNNNNNNNNNNNNNNNNNNNNNNNNNNNNNNNNNNNNNNNNNNNNNNNNNNNNNNNNNNNNNNNNNNNNNNNNNNNNNNNNNNNNNNNNNNNNNNNNNNNNNNNNNNNNNNNNNNNNNNNNNNNNNNNNNNNNNNNNNNNNNNNNNNNNNNNNNNNNNNNNNNNNNNNNNNNNNNNNNNNNNNNNNNNNNNNNNNNNNNNNNNNNNNNNNNNNNNNNNNNNNNNNNNNNNNNNNNNNNNNNNNNNNNNNNNNNNNNNNNNNNNNNNNNNNNNNNNNNNNNNNNNNNNNNNNNNNNNNNNNNNNNNNNNNNNNNNNNNNNNNNNNNNNNNNNNNNNNNNNNNNNNNNNNNNNNNNNNNNNNNNNNNNNNNNNNNNNNNNNNNNNNNNNNNNNNNNNNNNNNNNNNNNNNNNNNNNNNNNNNNNNNNNNNNNNNNNNNNNNNNNNNNNNNNNNNNNNNNNNNNNNNNNNNNNNNNNNNNNNNNNNNNNNNNNNNNNNNNNNNNNNNNNNNNNNNNNNNNNNNNNNNNNNNNNNNNNNNNNNNNNNNNNNNNNNNNNNNNNNNNNNNNNNNNNNNNNNNNNNNNNNNNNNNNNNNNNNNNNNNNNNNNNNNNNNNNNNNNNNNNNNNNNNNNNNNNNNNNNNNNNNNNNNNNNNNNNNNNNNNNNNNNNNNNNNNNNNNNNNNNNNNNNNNNNNNNNNNNNNNNNNNNNNNNNNNNNNNNNNNNNNNNNNNNNNNNNNNNNNNNNNNNNNNNNNNNNNNNNNNNNNNNNNNNNNNNNNNNNNNNNNNNNNNNNNNNNNNNNNNNNNNNNNNNNNNNNNNNNNNNNNNNNNNNNNNNNNNNNNNNNNNNNNNNNNNNNNNNNNNNNNNNNNNNNNNNNNNNNNNNNNNNNNNNNNNNNNNNNNNNNNNNNNNNNNNNNNNNNNNNNNNNNNNNNNNNNNNNNNNNNNNNNNNNNNNNNNNNNNNNNNNNNNNNNNNNNNNNNNNNNNNNNNNNNNNNNNNNNNNNNNNNNNNNNNNNNNNNNNNNNNNNNNNNNNNNNNNNNNNNNNNNNNNNNNNNNNNNNNNNNNNNNNNNNNNNNNNNNNNNNNNNNNNNNNNNNNNNNNNNNNNNNNNNNNNNNNNNNNNNNNNNNNNNNNNNNNNNNNNNNNNNNNNNNNNNNNNNNNNNNNNNNNNNNNNNNNNNNNNNNNNNNNNNNNNNNNNNNNNNNNNNNNNNNNNNNNNNNNNNNNNNNNNNNNNNNNNNNNNNNNNNNNNNNNNNNNNNNNNNNNNNNNNNNNNNNNNNNNNNNNNNNNNNNNNNNNNNNNNNNNNNNNNNNNNNNNNNNNNNNNNNNNNNNNNNNNNNNNNNNNNNNNNNNNNNNNNNNNNNNNNNNNNNNNNNNNNNNNNNNNNNNNNNNNNNNNNNNNNNNNNNNNNNNNNNNNNNNNNNNNNNNNNNNNNNNNNNNNNNNNNNNNNNNNNNNNNNNNNNNNNNNNNNNNNNNNNNNNNNNNNNNNNNNNNNNNNNNNNNNNNNNNNNNNNNNNNNNNNNNNNNNNNNNNNNNNNNNNNNNNNNNNNNNNNNNNNNNNNNNNNNNNNNNNNNNNNNNNNNNNNNNNNNNNNNNNNNNNNNNNNNNNNNNNNNNNNNNNNNNNNNNNNNNNNNNNNNNNNNNNNNNNNNNNNNNNNNNNNNNNNNNNNNNNNNNNNNNNNNNNNNNNNNNNNNNNNNNNNNNNNNNNNNNNNNNNNNNNNNNNNNNNNNNNNNNNNNNNNNNNNNNNNNNNNNNNNNNNNNNNNNNNNNNNNNNNNNNNNNNNNNNNNNNNNNNNNNNNNNNNNNNNNNNNNNNNNNNNNNNNNNNNNNNNNNNNNNNNNNNNNNNNNNNNNNNNNNNNNNNNNNNNNNNNNNNNNNNNNNNNNNNNNNNNNNNNNNNNNNNNNNNNNNNNNNNNNNNNNNNNNNNNNNNNNNNNNNNNNNNNNNNNNNNNNNNNNNNNNNNNNNNNNNNNNNNNNNNNNNNNNNNNNNNNNNNNNNNNNNNNNNNNNNNNNNNNNNNNNNNNNNNNNNNNNNNNNNNNNNNNNNNNNNNNNNNNNNNNNNNNNNNNNNNNNNNNNNNNNNNNNNNNNNNNNNNNNNNNNNNNNNNNNNNNNNNNNNNNNNNNNNNNNNNNNNNNNNNNNNNNNNNNNNNNNNNNNNNNNNNNNNNNNNNNNNNNNNNNNNNNNNNNNNNNNNNNNNNNNNNNNNNNNNNNNNNNNNNNNNNNNNNNNNNNNNNNNNNNNNNNNNNNNNNNNNNNNNNNNNNNNNNNNNNNNNNNNNNNNNNNNNNNNNNNNNNNNNNNNNNNNNNNNNNNNNNNNNNNNNNNNNNNNNNNNNNNNNNNNNNNNNNNNNNNNNNNNNNNNNNNNNNNNNNNNNNNNNNNNNNNNNNNNNNNNNNNNNNNNNNNNNNNNNNNNNNNNNNNNNNNNNNNNNNNNNNNNNNNNNNNNNNNNNNNNNNNNNNNNNNNNNNNNNNNNNNNNNNNNNNNNNNNNNNNNNNNNNNNNNNNNNNNNNNNNNNNNNNNNNNNNNNNNNNNNNNNNNNNNNNNNNNNNNNNNNNNNNNNNNNNNNNNNNNNNNNNNNNNNNNNNNNNNNNNNNNNNNNNNNNNNNNNNNNNNNNNNNNNNNNNNNNNNNNNNNNNNNNNNNNNNNNNNNNNNNNNNNNNNNNNNNNNNNNNNNNNNNNNNNNNNNNNNNNNNNNNNNNNNNNNNNNNNNNNNNNNNNNNNNNNNNNNNNAGAUGAACUCCACUUAGAUAUAAAGACUAUUUUUAACGUUGAUAAAUAAACAUUUCGUGGACCCUUAAAUAAGAAGAAAUCUGUUUCGAAAAAAAAAAAAUUCUUAAAAAAAGUUAAUUUCUGCACUUAAAAAAAGCUAUGACCUGGAUCCAUUUGGUUGGCUUAUAGGGCAAUUGAAAUUCAAUUCCCAGAAGAUAGAAUUAUAUAUUGUCGGAUGUAAAAUAAUUUUAGGCAGCUAUGUUGAAUUCAAGAACUUAGGAUCAUUUAUUUAUCUUAAUUAAUCAAUAGUAUCGGAAUGCAUAUUAUACAUGCCGUCCUAAAAAAUAUGACUUAUUCAACUCAAUUAUUCCCUGUUAAAAAAUUUAACGUUGUGAUGACCUUAACAAAUGGAAAUUAUUUUUCUAAGUUUCAACGCGCAACUCCUUGUUCAUGAUAUAAUCUGACUUAUCUGGUGGAUGAAACUUAUGUACUAUUUAACCAGAGAGUUUUUGGCGUAUCUUCUUCAUCUGUUGAUCAAGCAUUCUUAAUAAUUGUGAAAAAUAUUAUUGUAUCAGCCUGCAAUAUGCAGCAAAAGGCUUGCAUUCUUCUAAUCUUAUGGCUUCCAUUUAGCUUUUCCAUAUCAAAACAGACCAUCAACAACAGCACAAUCGCGCUACCCAGCUGCCCCACCAAGUGUGGGAAUGUAUCCGUUCCAUACCCAUUUGGUAUUGGUUUAGAUGCUGGAUGUUCCAUAGGCCCAUGGUAUGACAUCAACUGUUCUAAAUCUUUUAACCCUCCAAAACCCUUCCUCAGCAGAACUAAUGGAGAGAUUAUCGACAUAUCAGAAACCAAAAUCCGUGUCAAAAGCAAUGGGAUAGCUUACAGAUGCUACAAUCAGACUGGUGGUAUAACUCGUGAAUUUCCAACCGUAUAUGGUAUAGAUGAAACCUCGCCUUUCAGUUUUUCAAACGAAAACAAGUUCAUAGUUGUGGGAUGUGAUGAUGUUUCCUAUAUGGCAAAAGUGGCAACUGAUUAUGGCAAAAGUGGCAACCGAUAACUUAAUCAGUUCAUGUGCUGCCAUAUGUUCAAAGAGCAGUGACUUGAGUGAUGGAUCUUGUUCUGGAAUUGGCUGUUGCCAAAACUCCAUUCCAAAGGGCCUAAAGAAUUACAUUAAUUUCCUGAACAGCUAUGGAAAUCACACGAAGGUCUCAUCCUUCAACCGCUGUGGCUAUUCCUUUCUUGGAGAACAGGGCAGAUAUAGGUUUCACCCAUCUGAUGUCUCUGAUUCCAAUUUUGAACACAGAAUUGUAGAAACUGUUCCGAUGGUAUUUGACUGGGUGAUUGGGAAUCAAACAUGUGCUGAAGCUCAGAAAUCCAGUCUAUUUGCUUGUCAGGAAAAUAGCAUCUGUGUUGAUUCUGAUACUGGUCUUGGAGGAUAUCACUGCAACUGCUCCAAGGGAUACAAGGGAAAUCCAUAUCUCAGACCAGGUUGCUAAGGUUAGUUAAUGUCUGUUUGAACACUCUGAGCAUAUUUAGUACAUAUUAUUGGACAUUACUCCACGAUGGACAAAAAAAUUUACUUAUUUUUUUGGUUUGUAUUGUCAGUUAGUGUUAAAUCUAGCUUACCAAAGAAGCUGUCUAUAGAUAAACAAAAAAUGAAUUAUCGAAGAGCAAUAAGAACAAUUUUAAUUUCCUUUGGCUCAGCCAUGACUCUUUUCGCUCUACUACGUUUUCAGACAUCAAUGAAUGCGAGAACAAUCCGUGUCAUCCAUAUGGAAUCUGCGCUAAUACUCCAGGUGGUUAUAAGUGCUCUUGCCAGCACGGUUAUUUUGGUGAUGGCAGCAAAUUUGGUUCUGGUUGCAUUGGCCAGUCAGGGGCGGACCCAGACCAUUAGUAUUGUGGGGUCAAAAAUUUAAAAAUAAUUUUUCUAAUAAACAACAUAAUAUCAAUAAAAAUAAGUUUAUAUGUAUUUUGACACUUUGAAAACGUCGUAUAAUUACAUUAUUAUUAAUAUUAUUAAAUAAAUUUUGCUACUUGUAUAGUUUGUUUAUCAUUUCAUUGGCAAAUGUUGAGCUAAUAUUGAAUAAAUUAAAUGAAUUGACAAAUUUAAAGUAAAUAUAAUUCGAAAGUAAUUCAAAUUGCAUUUAAUCCGUAACGAUCCUAAAAAAUUUACAUCACAAUUCAUGUAAGACUUCUGAAUGAAACAAUAUAAAUUAUAUUGAAAAAUUUAUCGUGUAAAAAUAAUAAUUAAUUGAAUUUUUUUAAAAGAAAAGACGAAUUAAACGUUUUUUGAGGCGUACGUUUGAUACAUAUUUAACUAUUUUCAAUAUCUGUUUGGACCAUUCGAUAUGAAAACGAUGUAGUUUUCGAAACAAACAUUUACAUGACAUAGACGAUUUGUGGAUUCAGAUAGCAUAUGAUCGCAAACGAAUUUUUAAAGUUAGGAUAUCAUCGAAAUUCUCAAAGUACUAGUUAUAAACGCUCUACUUUAACAUGCUAUAACUUUUGCUAUGGUUGACCAUUUCGCAUGCCAUUAAUGAGUUAAAAACUAGGUCAUGAACACUUCGAAAUGGUAUUAAGAAUGCAAUAUUUUGAUUUCAUUUGACAUCCCAAUGAAUGUAUCAAAGUAGAUUGUAAAAAAAAAGGGGGCAAAAUUCUGUGAGGUCAUUUGACCCCACAUGACCCCAUGUGGGUCCGCCCCUGUGGCCAGCGUUCAAAUAAAGUAUCAGUGCUUACUAGGGGCGGACCCAGACCAUUAAUAUUGUGGGGUCAAAAAUUUAAAAAUAAUUUUUUUAAUAAACAACAUAAUAUCAAUAAAAAUAAAUUUAUAUGUAUUUUGACACUUUGAAAACGUCGUAUAAUUAUAUCAUUAUUAAUAUUAUUAAAUAAAUUUUGCUACUUGUAUAUUUUUUUAUCAUUUCAUUGGCAAAUGUUGAGCUAACAUUGAAUAAAUUAAAUUGAAUAUAGAAAUUAAAUGAAUUGAAAUAAAAUUCAAAUUUAAUUCAGGAAGUAAAUGAAUUUCAAAUUUAAAGUAAAUAUAAUUCGAAAGUAAUUCAAAUUGCAUUUAAUCCGUAACGAUCCUAAGAAAUUUACAUCAUAUUUCAUGUAAGACUUCCGAAUGAAACAAUAUAAAUUAUAUUGAAAAAUUUAUCGUGUAAAAAUAAUAAUUAAUUAAAUUUUUUUAAAAGAAAAAACGAGUUAGACGUUUUUUGAGGCGUACGUUUGAUACAUAUUUAACUAUUUUCGAUAUCCGUUUGGACCAUUCGAUAUGAAAAUGAUGUAGUUUUCGAAACAAACAUUUACAUGAUAUAGACGAUUUGUGGAUUCAGAUAGCACAUGAUCGCAAACGAAUUUUUAAAGUUAGGAUAUUAUCGAAAUUCUCAAAAUACUAGUUAUAAACGCCCUACUUUAACAUGUCAUAACUUUUGCUAUAGUUGACCAUUUCGCAUGCCAUUAAUGAGUGAAAAACUAGGCCAUGAACACUUCGAAAUGGUAUGAAGAAUGCAAUAUUUUGAUUUCAUUUGACAUCCCGCCGAGUGCAUCAAAGUAGAUUGUAAAAAAAAAAAAAAAGGGCAAAAUUUUGGGGGGUCAUUUGACCCCACAUGAUCCCAUGUGGGUCCGCCCCUGCAGCCAGCGUUCAAAUAAAGCAUCAGUGCUCACCAGGGCGGAUCCAGACCAUUAGUAUUGUGGGGUCAAAAUUUUAAAAAUAAUUUUUUUAAUAAACAACAUAAUAUCAAUAAAAAUAAGUUUAUAUGUAUUUUGACACUUUGAAAAUAUCGUAUAAUUACAUCAUUAUUAAUAUUAUUAAAUAAAUUUUGCUACUUGUAUAGUUUGUUUAUCAUUUCAUUGGCAAAUGUUGAGCUAACAUUGAAUAAAUUAAAUUGAAUAUAGAAAUUAAAUGAAUUAAAAUAAAAUUCAAGUUUAGUUCAGGAAGUAAAUGAAAUUCAAAUUUAAAGUAAAUAUAAUUCGAAAGUAAUUCAAAUUGCAUUUAAUCCGUAACGACCCUAAAAAAUUUACAUCAUAAUUCAUGUAAGACUUCCGAAUGAAACAAUAUAAAUUAUAUUGAAAAAUUUAUCAUGUAAAAUUAAUAAUUAAUUGAAUUUUUUUAAAAGAAAAAACAAGUUAGACUUUUUUGAGGCGUACGUUUGAUACAUAUUUAACUAUUUUCGAUAUCCGUUUGGACCAUUCGAAUUGAAAACGAUGUAGUUUUCGAAACAAACAUUUACAUGACAUAGACGAUUUGUGGAUUCAGAUAGCACAUGAUCACAAACAAAUUUUUAAAGUUAGGAUACUAUCGAAAUUCUCAAAAUACUAGUUAUAAGCGCCCUACUUUAACGUGUCAUAACUUUUGCUAUAGUUGACCAAUUCGCAUGUCAUUAAUGAGUGAAAAAUUAGGCCAUGAUCACUUCGAAAUGGUAUUAAGAAUGCAAUAUUUUGAUUUUAUUUAGCAUCCCGACGAGUGCAUCAAAAUAGAUUGUAAAAAAAAAAAAAGAAGGGCAAAAUUUUGUGGGGUCAUUUGACCCCACAUGACCCCAUGUGGGUCCGCCCCUAGUGCUCACAGGUUAUAAACAUAUUGUUACCCCUGUAAAUGUACUCAUGUUACUUCGGAUCAUGUUCAUUACAUUCAAUCAAAAGUAAAAACUUUUCAUUUGAAGCAUUGUUGAGAACCAGGGAUGAAGGGAAAUCGUUGCAACUUUACUAAUACCUUUAAAUCAUUAAACUUAAGAUGAGUACAUAAAUAUUUUGAAAAAAUAUUUUUUGUUCCUUCUAUUUUUGGAAUUUGCAUUUGAGACAGAUUUGAUGAACAGGGUUUUUAUGUCAAGUUCAAACCAUUAUUUAUCUAAUCAGGAGUUAAUACAUAAGUCGAAGAAAACUCGGAAUCAUAUAGGAUACUUUUCCUUUAUUUUCUUAAUAUUAAAAAAAAAACACUGAUCAGUUCACUGGACGAAGGAACCUACAAGUACAGUGACCUAUGUCCAUACGAAAUCAAACAAAUGUUCUACAAAGUUGAACGAUGCCUGAAGGCUUAAGAAACAAACUAAACAAAAGCCUAAUUUGACUUGAAGUCAAGAAAAUGAGGGAAAAUGAAGUUUAAUAUAGUGAUUACAGAAAAGAGAAAGGGAUACUCACAGCAGUGAUUUUUUUUGGUUGACAAUUUAUCCGGUUAGUUUCUCAUACACAUAAUGAAUGCUUAGAAGUCUUAGAGUUGUCAAACAGCUGCCAGUGCAUGAAUUUGCCUAAUAUGACAUCUCUCUGUGCAGGUUUAAGUACGAGCAUCGGGUUGUUAUUACUGCUAACAGUUAUCUAUUGGCUAUACAAAGUAGUGAAGAAGAGGAGUGAUCGACUGAUUAAACAAAAAUAUUUCAAACGAAAUGGUGGUCUUUUAUUAAUAUUCCUAUUUUAAUUGAAAACCUUGAAAGCCCAAGAACAAGUAACCAAGAGGGGGGUGAAUUGGUUUUUCGAUCCUUUUUCGAAAAUGAGCACAAAUUUAAACAAAUAACUAUUAAUAAACAAGAUAACACAAAAGUAAUAAGAGGAAGGGAAAAGAGAGUGCAAACGAUGUAAUAAAGAGGUUCGAUCCAAUCAUGAUCUGCGUCCCCCGUUACCAUGCUCUCCGUCACGAGUAAGGCCUUUUUCACUAUAUUGAUUGACUUAUGGUACAAUCCAACCUUCUUACAACGCUUUCGGUGACUUACAAAUAAGGAGUACCGUUCCUUUACAAUGUUGAAAUUUUCGGGACUUCAACUCGACCCACAAGUUUAAAAGAUAAGGAGUAUACAAGUGAAGACUUCUCUUGCAAUAAAUGAUAUAAUUGAAGUUGAAUACAACAAGAGAAGAUGGCUAACACUUUAGUAGAUAGCAAUGAUUGAAGCUCAAGUGUUAGAAAAGAAAAACACUUUGAUAAGAAUGAUUUUCAAAAGUUGGAUCAAUCAAAUGUUUUUCUAAUAAAUAGAUUGAAGAAAUAGAUGUAUAUAGGUGAUAGAUUAGUGAUAUCUCACUUUAAAUGCUCAUAUAAAGUCUCAUAUUGAAUGCAAAGUGAUCUAGUGUUUAUAGCAACAAAAACGGCCAAAAGUUCUGUUCUACUGGACGAAGCUAUCGGACGUCCGCUAUCGUACAUGACGGUCAACUAACUGUUUUUUGUUCAGAAGUUAGAACGUUUGAUUUCUUGACCGUUGGACAAACCUGUCAUACUGGACGUCCGCUAGAAUUAUCGGACUUGUCCGCUAGAGCUACCGGAUGCGUCCUCUAGAUCAGCAUAUUUUUGGAUUUUUCCUUCUUUAAAUAAUGUAGCAAAAUGUAAAUUCAUGAAGGAUGUUUCUAACAUGUUUUACAGACUUUUUGACAUGUCUAAAAGUAUGUAAUAGGUUCGUGCUUUUCUUUAUGCAAAAACCGUGUUUGUCGUGCGAAGAAACGUUGCUUGAGCUUCAAAUGACGUAUAUGUCAAAUACUAAAGUGUUUUACCAUAACAUUUGAAAUCAAGGUGUCUAAAUAUAUUUUCUUCUAAUUUCUUCUUGAAGUGAUCGUAGUCUUGAUAUGUAGCUUGAUUUCCACUUUGUCCAAACUUGCAAGAGCUCCGCUUGUCGUAAACUUCUAUAAUCACUGAAACACAAUUGUUAAAUAAAAUAUGUUUGUUAUAAUCAAAACGAGAAGUCAACCGUAGGCCAACAAUUUCCCCCUUUUUGAUUAUGACAAACAUGAG